rnacentral:lncRNA from 1 species
UGGGUAGAAAAAUGUUUGUUUGUCGGUCGAUUUUAGCAAAAGCUAUAUUGUAUUAAUCGACGAAAACAUUGUUUUACCCAAAAUAGAUGAGGAGCGGACGUAUACCACACAUCGAAUGGAUUUACAAAUCUGCAUUCGGAAAAACGUCACUUAUCUCGACUCAACAAUCGUGGCCGAAACAUUGUUUUGCAUCACCUUAAGACAAUAUAUCUUUCAUUUAUGAAAAAGGUUUUUGAUUAACCGCACGGAAGCGAGAAAAAGAGUUUGAUUGGUUGGAUGUAUUUUGAGUAAUGGCGAGAACUUGGAUGAGUGAGAUAUCCAUCUCGAAUCCUAGUCUCAGGAGUGCACGGUAUACACCAUGAUCCAUUUCCAUCUUUAUUGACAAAAGUGUUUAAUAAAGAUUAAGUAUUUUUAGGUUCUGAAAGACGAAUAUUUAAGAACGAGACAUAAGCCCCAAGAUCGAUAAUUCAGGGUUCCACCGGAAUGCAAGAUUCCAAUGGUCCUUUUUCAUUCGAAUUAUUUAGAAAAAAAAGUUUGGAUAUGGUAUUUGAUUUUAAGAAAUAUCUCUCAAUAUGUGAUCAAGGAUGGAUUCACAUAUAUGAUUUGAGACAGUUUGACUUGGUUACAAAAAUUAUUUGAAGUCGAAAUUGAAAUGGUUUAAUGGAAAAUGAAAACUCAAUAAGAACAAGACAUGUGCUUUUGGACUCAAUUGUUCAAGGGUUACACUGGAAUGCUAGAUUCCAACGGUCCUUUUCUUUCGAGUUUGUUUAAGAAAAGAUUUUUGUAAGUUAUGUUAAGAAAUUAUAAAAGAUAUAAAUAAAACAGCAAGUAUAAAAAAUAAAACAAAUGGAGAAAAGACAAUUGAAUAUUGCACUUGGUUUAAGAGAGGUCAAUUGAUACCUGAUCAAGGUUUAAUUCAAAUAAAUUGAGACAUGAUUUAAAUUGAAAUUGAAAUGGUUUAAAAUGAAUUGAAUUUAGACAUGAUUUAAAUUGAAAUUUGAAAUGGUUUUAAAAUGAAUUGAAUUUUAAAAUAAAUUAAAAUUGAAAAAAUAAUUUAAUUUAUGAUCAAAAUGAAACAAUGACCUUAAUUACUUAUCUUGGAGAUUAGUAAUUAGUUAUAUGAAUUAAAUAACCUAAUUGAAAUUUUUUAUAAAUUGAAAUUGGAAUGGUUUAAAAGGUUGGAUUUUUUUAGAAAUUAAAAAAAAUGAUUUGAUUCAUCAAACUGUGAAAACGUUUCAAGCAAAACUAGAUUUCGAUUUGAAUAAUCAAACAGAAACAACAUAAAGACUUGACAUCCAAACCAAGACACAAAACAAACUUAAUAAAAUUUAACAUAUCAAAAUAGGCCAGAUUCAAAAUCAACCACAUAUUUGAUCUUUACUCAAAGAUCCAAGAGUGAAGCCUGCUUUGCCAAUUAGCAGCACCCUUAGGGAACCACAGAGCAAUUUCCUUGUUAGCACUUUCAACAGCAUCACUUCCAUGAAUAACAUUUCUGCCAAUGUCAAAGGCGAAGCCACGAUCCAAACGCUCCAAUAAAAAAAGAAUGGCAAGGCAGUUAUAACUGGAAAAAUGUAUAAGGCAUCUGGAGCAAGAAAAAGACACCCAUAGAAGCCAUAUGCUCUCCAGAUUGAACAUGUUGAAACCCAACAAACCUAAUCUGCAUAGCAAGCAACAUUCCCAAAACAUACAUGCAAUUAUAAGCAACAUAAAGUCGCAAAGAGUAUCUCCCAGUUACCAACAACACCAACACAUAAAGCGGAACCAAAUUGAUAAUAAACACAUAACCACCCCAAGCCGAAACCAUAUAGAAAUAACCAAAUGCAGAUGCCAAAGACCACGACAAUGAUCCAGUAUUCACCGCUUUCACAAACAAAUAAAAAGUCAACAACAACACGAAAAUCGCAACUCCUUCAUUAUCAUAAGAUCCAGCAACAGAUCUCGAAAUGUAGCCCGGACAAAUCGCAAUCAAAGUCGUCGCAACAAUUCCAGCACCAAAACCAGGCACAGGACCCUGAAACAAGUUAUUAGUCAAGUUCACAACUUUAAGCGACUUCAGGCUAACCAAUGAACUGGGAACAACACCAGUGAAAGAGUUAUCCCUUAAACUCAAAACCUCUAAAUCCUUCAACCCUUCAAAACUAGGUAAAGGACCGCUAAAAGCAUUAGAAUGCAACCAAACCUCAGUCAAAGAAGUCAUAUUCUGCAAAACCUCAACCGACCCAGUAAGCUUACCAUCACUCUUCUGACCAUUCAACCACAAAGACUCAACCUUUAAACCAGAUCCAAACCUCAGUCAAAGAAGUCAUAUUCUGCAAAACCUCAACCGACCCAGUAAGCUUACCAUCACUCUUCUGACCAUUCAACCACAAAGACUCAACCUUUAAACCAGAAAAGCUCUUCGGCAACACAACCUCAAGAUUAUUGAAGGCUAAAUGCAAAAGGGUCAGAACAGGAAAAACAUCAUCACCCAAAAAAUUCGGUAACUUACCCUUCACAUUAGCAUUGUUAGCAGAAAAAUUCUGAAGCGAAGAAGCAUCUUUAAGAGACACAGGAAUCUCCCAAGGCUCAAAAGGAUUAUCAUCGAUCUCUACAGAAGCAAGCUGAGACAUACCAGCAAAAAAAAUCGUCGGGAAUCACUGUAAAACGGUUACUACUCGCCAUGAAAACUUGAAGAGAGUUUAACCCGUUUAAACUCGGGAGAGGACCCGAGAAAUUGUUGAACUGAAGCUCCAAGUGUUGUAACUCGGUUAAGUUGUUGAGGCUCCGAGGGAUUGUGCCGUGGAGAUUUUGACGACCGAUUUGGAUUCGAGUAACCCGGUUAUCGCCGGAGCAUGAAACGUGGGUCCAUUUACAUGGAUCCGGGUCGGACCAACCGAGUGAAUCGGGCAGGUUGAUAUUUCUUUUGAGAGAUAACAUGACUGAAGUGUCGUCGUUUUGGGAGUGAGUGAAUAGGGUAAUAAUGAAGAGGAAGAAAGAAAGAGUUAAAGGGUUUAGUACUAUGAUGUUUUUCUUUAUGUUGUUGUUGUUGUGGAAGAGAAGAGAAGAGGAACGAUUUUUCCUUAUCUUUCUAUCUUCAUUUUUAUGUGGAGUGAGGUAGGUGGAGAGAAAUGGAGGGUUGUUGGUUCGAUUUGUGGAAGAUGAGAGGUGGUCGGGUGUAUUUGUGUAAGGAAGACGACGGCGGAAAGAGGAUGGGUCAGCGGUGUUUGUCGGCGUCGUGGAGGUGUGGGAACGGCGGAAGGCAACGGAGGGUAUGAUGAGUAGAGAGUGGACGUCGCGGAGAUGAAGGUGAAGGGUUUGCGGCGGUGGGUAGAUGGGGUUUGUGUGUCGUUGGUGGCGAAGAAGAAAAACUUCUUCUUAUUUCCUGUUUUUCUUUUUCAGCUGAGAGAGGAAAGAGAGAUGAGUGGAGGUGAGAUGAUGAGAAGCGAAGAGGAACCAUCCUCUCAACUCCCUUUUUCCUUAUUUUUCUUCGUGAGUUCAGAGGUUCCAAGAAUCCACCCAAAAUAAAUCAUCCUCUCCCCUUUUGAAUUGGAAAAGUCCACUUCUUAAAAAUAGUAUUGUAUCUUAUUUUGAAAACAGGUUACCAAUACUUUUUUCUGUUCUGAAAAUAAGGCCCCUUUUCCAUUCUUGUGUCACAUGGAUUUCCAAUUUUGUGGACUGCUUUCCUCUACCUCCCAAAAGCAAGAUGUCGCACGUAAUGUUUUUGUGUGUCUCUUCCUUCACAUAGUACACAUAUUAUAUUACUAGGGUUUUCAAACUUUUACAAUGACACAAAUGCCCUUAAGAUGAUUUAUGAUUUAGAAAGAGUUUAGAACAAUUAAAUGCAAAUAGAAUUAAAAUAAUUAAAACAACAAGAGGAUUAACCCUAUUUAUUUUUCUAAACAUUUUGAUAAAAAGUGAAAUAAAUUGACUAAGAAAAUGAAUAAAAUUUGAGCGUGAAAAUGCCUAAACAAUUAAAAUGAAUGUACCAAAAUGAUCAGUGCGAAAUAAACUUAUUGGAAAAAUACAACGUUUCUUUUAAUUUUGAAAUAAAUUUUGACCGGUUAAACAGGCUUGAGCUGAUCAGAAAGUGGCCGAAAAAUUAGCUGAAAAAUGAAAUAAACUUAUUGGAAAAAUACAACGUUUCUUUUAAUUUUGAAAUAAAUUUUGACCGGUUAAACAGGCUUGAGCUGAUCAGAAAGUGGCCGAAAAAUUAGCUGAAAAAUAAAUCGAGCAUACCAGCUUAAACUACGUGAAACGUAGAUUAAUAAAGUUGAUGUCUGGAAGCUUGAUUUUAAAAGUUUUGGUCCACUGAUUUGACGCACACCCAUUGAUUAAUUCAACCGGUUUGUCUGUAGAUCCGAAAAAAUUAUUUCGACUGAUAUUUUAGGCACUAUGCGGUAUGGAAUGCAUGGUAUGCUAUGUAGACAUGCAAUAACUAUGAUGAAUGUAUUGAAUCAGUGAUUCAGGGUCAAAAUUGAGGUAUGACAGUGUCCCUUUGAGAUAUCUAAGUAUCUUCUUCACUUGUACCCAAUAAGUCUCAAGAGAAUGAGACAUGAAUUGGCAGACAGUGUUGACUGAGUAGGCAAUAUCAUAACAUGGGAUUCUAUUUUAUUGAGUUGGAAGGUUACCUGCAUUGGAGUGGACAAGAGUCACUUGUGUUUGUGUUUUGCAAGAGAUCUCUAAUAUAUUUGGAUUGAGACAACAUAAGAGAGCUAGUAGAAUAUUUUUUAACCACGAUUCCUAGGAAAUAAUCAAGAUCACAAAGGUGUUUGAGAGAGAAAUAAAUAUUGAGUUUUGGGAUGACUUCCUGAAGAAGAUAUUUGGAGUUGCCACUCAAGAAAAUGUCAUCCACAUAUACCAAGAGAUAAAUAGUGUUCCCUUUGGAGAAAUAUGUAAACAAUGAAUGAUCAUAUUUUCUUGCUUUGAAUUGGAGCUUGUGCAAGGCAAUUUGAAGUCUUUCAAACUACUUCCUAGGAGCUUGCUUGAGCUUAUAGAGGGCCUUGUGGAUUUUUCACAUAAGAGUAGGGUCAACACUAACAAAACCAUGGGGUUUCUCUAUGUAAAAUUUCUCAUACAACAAGGUAUUUAGAAAGGCAUUAUUGACAUCAUGUUGUUGGAUGGACCACUUGUGAGAUGUGGCAAUUUUAACACCCUAAACCACGAUUAUAAUUUAUAAAACAUUGUGGAAAAUAUUAAGAUGAAAUAAGGGUGUCACAUUGACAAAAUAUUCAACUUUUAUUCCUAAGGUGGAAUUUAAAUUCAAAAAAUAGCAUAGUAAUUUCAUUUAAAACAAAUCAUAAGACAUACCAAAGUAUUCCCAACCCGAUGUUAUAAUAUUAGAGCAAAAGAUAUUAAGGCCACAGGUUCUUAUGAACCUAAACAUAUCAACACUAUCGGUUAUGGCUACACUUUAGUUUGCCUUGAACCUAAACUAUCAAGAUUCAACAUCGCUUACUCACGAGGUGGCUAUCAAUUCAAUUUAUCAUAAACAUCAGAACUCUUUUCUCAACAAUUAUCACCUAAACAUCAUAAAUUAAGUCGGAGAACCAGAAUUAUUAAAAAAAUUGAGUCAAACUUCGGUCAACACAGAAUUAUUACAAAAUUAUAUAUAUACGUGUUUAAACCAAAAACAACUAUGACACAUGAUAUACAAGAAUGCCUAAUCGAAAACUAAUAUCUAUGUACAAUAUCCAUAUUUACACAUAAUUCACAGUGGAAGAUCACGAUAACCAAAGUCUUUGAAACAUCAUCAGACAAGCUUGUCCUUGCCUUCAACCUGCAAAGAAUCACCUUAAAAACAAUAAUAAUAGCAAGGUAAUAUAAUAAGCUCAGUGAGUUCCCUUAUCAUAUGGGUCCACUCGGCUCUAAAAGGAGCUUUUAUCGGAACCUCAACUUAAUCUUCUCGAUAAAAUAAUACAUGUGUGCACUUACAUAAUAAAUAAAGGAUUAAGCAUCCAAGGGAUAUUUGCAUGGUAUGGAGACAUGUAACUUGAGUUCACAUAACUCAAUAAAUCACUACUCAAAAAAGAAAACAAAGCAUCUUUCCUCGACCAGACCUACGUCUAGGGUAAGACUCGGGUCAUAUAUGUUUGUAUGAUUCGACUUUCUUGUGGAUUCGGAUUCUCCAUGGGACUCAAACCUACUUCAAUAAUUGUCAUUCCUUUCUCUUUCUCCUUGUACAAGCGCUAGUGGUAGAUCUGUCAUUUCGCAAGGGUGAUUUACAGAAUCAUUGAAGCCCAAAAGACCUUUGUCACCGUAUAGACUCAGAUCCAACUAAUGAGUCUGAGUUGCUCGAGCACAUCACUGUAGAGGACAUUACACAAACUUCUAUUGUCCACGAGGAAUUUUACUACAAUGCUACCCAUUAAGUAAUUGUUAUAACAAAUACAACUCUGCGUUUGGGAUUCCAUCUACCUUAUUGCGAUCUCGAAAUUCUCGCAUCAACAUGUCUUUAUUUUGUGGUAUGGUAUCAUUCGUUUCUUGGAUAGUACUCUCUGAUGGUUGAUCUUCAUCACACAUCGCUUUCACGCAGAUCACAUCGAUGACGAAGGAUUGAGGUGGUGCAAGAUCGGAGGAUUUGGAAAAGCUCUUCUGUGUGCUGUUGGAGGUUAUUCUAGCCAAUCUUAUAUUGGUUAUGGUAGAGAUCUAACUUUUAUAGAGAAUGAAUAGAUGAUGGAGUUUUGCCGGAAUUAAAGGAUAAUUCUGACAUAUGGCACCAAUAUUUUGUUAGAUAACCAGAAUUGAUCAAAAAUUGGAGCUUGAAAGAUGCAAUGAAUGGCCCGGGGUUAUGAUGGGGAAAGGGAAAGGUUGAAUUGUAAGGUUAGCAUUCUAACGCUCAAAUUAAAACAUGAGUAAGAUGAUUGAAUAAAUUUUAAAUUUGAAUUGUGUACCUGAGAAAUGGUGUGCCUUUUCUUUAUAAGAUGAGGCAAUUAUAACAAAGUGCUAAUCUUUAGGGGCGUGAGACGGAGAGUCAGUGGAUGGAUCUUUGAUUUAGAGCUCUUGUGCUCUACUCCAGGCUAACGAUCAUACCCUAUGGAAAAUAUCAAAGAUCAUUGCCUUCUCUGGGCCGCGGCUUCAAGGCCUUCUGGCCAACCUAAAAGAUAUAUAUCAUUCUAUACAAAACAAUUCUUUAACAAAUGUUAAAGAUUUUUCCAUAUUUUUUAAUUAUUUCUAAAUCACCCAUUCUCCUCGUCUCCAAACUCUCAAACAAAGUCUAAAAAUUUGUCAUGUACUAUAUUGUAUAAUACUUAUCCUUUUGUGAAUCAAACAUACCCUUAAAGUCGAGCAAAGUAGAAUUGCCACCGAUACCAUGAAAGUUCCUUUCCUUCCAUGGCAACCAUGGCGGCCUGCAUUUAAGUGUAAUGUACAAUUCAAAUUAUAAUAACUACUUGCUAAUUCCUGAAGAAUGAAACUUAUGUGUAGAACUUCAUAUUAGAGAAUUUAAUCUAUUACUCUCAAGUUUGACCUGACAUGUUCACAUAGUUUCAUAAUUAAAAAAAUGUUAUUUCCAUUGUUUACCUUUGAAAAUUUUAUAUACAGUAAAAAGAAAACCACUUUGGAGAAAUGUUAAAAAAAUGAAGAAAAAAAAAUUGGUAGUUAUGCAGAAAAAUCCGGUACGAAAAAUUUCAGAAAAAGGUGGAAUUUAUACAAUUUUAUCGGAUAUUUUGAAAAUCGGUAUGAGUUUUUAUUGAUUUUUCCGAUAUUUUGUUGCAUUUAUACCGCACAUUUUCAAAAAAUCAGUAUUUUCUGAAAUUUUAUUGCACAUUUUAAAAAAUAUGGUACAUUUAUACGUCUUUUUUUGAAAGAAUCGGUAUUUCUGGGGGAAACUUAUAACUCCUACAGAAUAUUUAGAAAAAUCUGGUAUAGAUAAUAAAAAUUGGAUAUUUUGAAACUUAUGAUAUUUUGAAUUUUUGCAGUGUAAAAAAUUCGGUAGUUCAAAAUGCUACAUAAGUGCGGUCUAAAUCCUCAUCAACAUGAUUCCCCUACAGAUUUGAUACAGGUUUUCACCAAAAACACUGUUUGUUUUACUUCCAUAUUUUGUGUUUAACUUGUUCAAUACUCAACGAGUUUUCGGUAUCUCUAACAUUGACAUUGACGAUUUAUUCUGUAUAUAUUGUAAAUGAUAUGUAUUUUUCUUUCGAACUGACGUGUUAGAAUGGUUCAAAAUAUUAGGUAUGUUUUAUAGGUUCCUAGAUUUUUCAUAAAUUGCCAGUAAUUUUUCAAAAUUUUGAAAAUCUCUAACUUUUCUUUACAAUAUUCAAUAAUUCUUCAGAUAACCGCAAAAAAAUCCGAUAAUGUUUUAGAAAAAAUGCGGUAAUUGCAGGUACUUUAAAAAAUCCAAAAUUGUAUGUGGAGUGAUAGAAUACAUUUUCUUCAUAUUAUACAUAAUACUAGUGGCACCUUAUAGAGCCCACAACUAUAAGAAAACGCCAACUUGAUAAAAUAAAACCAUAAGCAAGGCCACGAUUUUGACUGACAGUGAAGUCAAUAUUCUUGCCAUUGUUUUCAAAGUUAAAGCGCGUUUUCUCACUAUUAAUCAAGAAAAAGGAGAGUGUAUUCUCAUUACACAGAAAACAAUUAUCAUAUAAGUCAAAAACUUGUUCAUGGAAAAUCACUAACCUCCACUCACCACUUCCCUCAAAAUGUGUAGAUACCAAACCUUAGUUUUUAUCAUUAUCUUACAUUUUAGUACGUAUGCUCUAUUGUGUUCCAGUGACCAUUCAUCAUUUGGUUGCAUGCAGCAAGAGAGGCAAGCUCUUGUUGAACUCAAAGGAAGUUUCAAUGAUCCUUCAUAUAGACUUUCCUCUUGGGAAGGAAACGAUUGUUGCAGAUGGAAAGGUAUAAGCUGCAGCAACAUUACAGGACAUGUUGUCAAGAUUGACCUUAGGAAUCCAUGCUAUCCACCAAGAGGAGAAGAUUAUCAACCAAACUGUUCCUUCUCAAAAUCUAAGCUUGAAGCUCAAUAUCUCCAUCCUUCUCUUUCAAAUUUCAAAUAUCUUACCUAUUUAGACCUUAGUGGAAACAGUUUUAAUUCAAGUCCAAUACCAACGUGGUUCCAUUCUAUGAACCAUUUACAACACCUUUCUCUCUCUGAUUCCCAUUUUAAUGGCAUCAUCCCGAACAACCUUGCCAACCUCACAAAAUUGACCUUUCUUGAUCUCAGCUUCAAUUCUUGGUUACACUCUGAUGACAUCUAUUGGCUUUCAAAUCUUUCAUUGCUUCGGUAUCUUUACAUGAGUGAUGUUUUUCUUGAAAGGGCGGAAAAUUUAUUCCAGGUACUUAACAUGAUUCCUUCUUUGUUAGAAUUAGACUUGAUGAACUGCAGUAUAUCGAAGACACGAAGUGAUUAUCAUCCAAUUGUUAGUUACUCAAGUUUUUCUAGCAUUGAGACUCUUAUUCUUGCUGAUAAUAGACUUGGUGGUUCAGAUCUGAAGGCUUUUAGAAACAUGAGUACUUCAAUUGAAUAUAUUGACCUUUCUAACAACAGUCUCAGUUCGGUUCCGUUUUGGUUGAGCAAUUGUGCCAAACUUACCUAUCUUUAUCUUGAAAGCAAUGCUCUUAAUGGCUCACUUCCAUCAGCUCUUCGAAAUUUGACUUCUUUGACAUUACUUGACAUUUCUCAAAACAAUAUUGAAUCUGUUCCAUUGUGGUUAGGAGAGUUAGAGGGUCUUUUGUUUCUGAAUCUUUCUUUGAAUCAUGUAAACCAUAUUGAGGGUUCUCUAACAUCAAUUCUAGGAAAUAUGUGUCAUCUUCUGUCACUAGAUUUGUCUCAAAACAGAAUCCAAGGAGACGCUCUCGUCGGUAAUUUACUCUCUCGAUGCGUUCGUUUUGAUUUACAGGAACUUGAUUUGAACAACAACAAUUUCAAUGUUCAGCUGCCAACAUGGUUAGGACAUCUUGAAAAUCUGGUAAUCCUCACACUUCAUUCAAGUUUUUUUCAUGGUCCUAUUCCAAAUAUUUGGGGAAAAUUGUCAAGCUUGGAAUACUUAAGCCUUGCUAACAAUCACUUUAAUGGAUCUGUUCCAAACUCUUUGGGAAAACUUGGAAAUCUAAGCAUUUUAGACAUUUCUAAAAACAACUUGUUAGGCGAUUUUCCUUGUAGUAUAACAACACUUGUCAAUCUUCAAUACUUGCUUCUGAACAAUAAUAAUUUGUCUGGUUCUCUUCCUAACUGUAUAGGACAGUUUGUCAAUCUAAACACCUUGAUUAUUUCUUUUAAUCGUUUUAAUGGUGUUAUUCCUAGGAAUAUUGAGAACAUGGUUAGCUUAGAAAGCCUUGAUGUUUCAGCAAAUUUUCUGAAUGGAACAAUUCCACCAAGUAUUGGUCAACUUUCAAAUUUGCAGACCCUUUACCUUGGUAAAAAUAAUUUACAAGGGAAAAUUCCUCUUACUUUUGGUAAACUUGUGAACCUUCAAAAUUUAGAUUUGUCUCUCAACAAUUUGGAAAGUGUUUUUUCUGAAAUAAACUUUCCCAAGUCACUGGCCUAUGUGAACCUCACCAAUAACCAUAUCUCUGGACCACUUCUCACAAAUAUUGCCCUUAGAUUUCCUAAUCUUACUCACUUGCUUCUUGGAAACAACCUCAUAAAUGAUUCCAUACCGAAUUCGUUGUGCAAAAUAAACUCGUUGUACAAUCUUGACCUUUCCGGCAACAAUUUAGUUGGCAACAUUCCAGAUUGUUGGAGUAAAAGUAAAAGAUUGAACGAGAUAAACCUAUCAUCUAACAAGUUAUCAGGCGUUGUUCCAAGCUCGUUCGUUAAUCUUUCCACUUUGGUCUGGUUACAUUUGAACAAUAAUAGUCUUGAAGGAGAGUUUCCAUCAUUCUUGAGGAACUUAAAACAACUGUUAAUCUUAGAUAUUGGAGAAAAUCAAAUGUCAGGGAAUAUACCUUCAUGGAUCGGGGAUGUAUUCUCCUUAAUGCAAAUUCUCAGGUUGAGAAAAAACAAGUUCCAAGGUAACAUUCCAUCACAGCUUUGUAAACUUUCAGCUUUGCAAAUAUUGGACCUUUCCAACAACAAGUUCACAGGUUCAAUACCUCAGUGCAUUGGAAAUCUUACAGCAAUGAUUCAAGGAUACAAACCGUCAGUUGUUUCCUUAGCUCCCGGAGAGCCGAGGUAUUUUGAAUGGUAUGACCAAGAUGUCAGCCAGAUGAUUAAAGGAAGAGAAGAUCAUUAUACAAGAAAUCUGAAACUUGUUGCCAACAUGGACUUAUCAAACAACAAUUUAACUGGACCUAUUCCUAAAGGAAUAACUCUUCUUACUGCUUUACAAGGCUUAAACCUGUCACACAAUUAUCUAUCUGGUGAAAUUCCUAUAACCAUAGGGGACAUGAAGUCACUUGAAUCUUUGGAUCUCUCUCGUGAUCAACUUUCAAGCUCAAUUCCACAAACAAUGUCUAGUCUAACUUUUCUAAGUGUACUAAACUUAUCCUACAACAACCUUUCAGGACCAAUUCCACAAGGAAACCAGUUUUCAACACUAAAUGAUCCGUCUAUUUAUGCUGGCAACAGAUUUCUGUGCGGUGCACCAUUGUCCAAUCAUUGUGAUGUUGAUGAAGAUGAUAGAGAUGAAAGUGGAGAUGAAGACGGAGAACAAGACAAGGCGGAGAAAUGGUUGUUUUACUUUGUGAUAGCACUAGGAUUUGGUAGUGGCUUUUGGGUUGUGAUUGGUGUUUUGUUGUUGAAGAAGGGUUGGAGGCAAGCUUACUUUAGAUGCAUUGAUGUGGCAGUGCAUAAGAUAAAUGGCACAUUUGGAAGAGAGUUAGCAAAGUUAAAGAAAACAUGUAUGGGAAACCCUAUUGAUUAGUGAAAAAUACAUAUCUAUUGAUCAUGUAAUAAAAAAGAAAUAUAGAUCAAAUAUUUUUUUCAACAUUCUUUUACCAAAUAUAGUCAAUUUUAUGAAUACUACAUCUAAUAUAUAUGAUGGACAAUUGCCACUUCUAUUACAAAAAUAAGUAUCUAAUAUUUUUUAUUUAAAAAACGUGCAUUUUAUGAGACGGGUGGAAUAUAAAAAUAUUGGGAAUAAUAAAAAUAAAAUUUUAAAAAAUAAAUUAAUUUAUAUUAUAAAUUAAAAUAAAUCAUUCAUUUUUAAAAUAUUAUUUCUUUCAAAUAUGUUAUAUUAUGGGGGCGAGAGUAAUUUAUAUACAUUUAAUAUAUGUUAAUACAACAAUUGAUCGUGUAAGAGUGGGCUCAACAUUUAUGAUGUUUAUUGUUAAAUAGAAUUUUACAAUAAUCUUAUUCAACACGUGAUUCGGAUUCUAGCAAGUGAUUUCAAAAAUGUUUUUUUUGCGUAUAAUUUUUGUAUAGUUUUCUCUUUUUUAGAGUUAGGCUAUUUUGCACACUCACCACUAGAGAGGGCAAUCGCACCAUCUUUAGUGGAUAUAUGUAAAAACAUCAAUAACAAAUAUGGUAAAAAUCUGCAAAAUAGUUAUGAGGAUAUACAAAUAUAAUUACGCACUAAAAUAAAUGGGUAUGAGUGCAUGUUCGAAUACCUUAAUAUCAAUUAUAUCACACACUCGCACAUUAUUUAUUUAUUUAUUUAUUAUUUUUAUUAUAAUAUACACAUGCACACUUAUCAAUUUUAUUAAGUGUAUCACAAUUAAAUUUAUACACAUUUUAUUAAGUGUAUCACAAUUAAACUUGUAUAUAUUUGGUUGUGAGACUUGUUAUAUUUGGCAAAAAGAGGUUAUAACUCUAAAAAUCAAAUUAAACAAGAUCUUAGAACCAAAUGUCAUCUUCGCUAUUAACCUUUUAAAAUUCAAGAGAUCUUUAAAUGUGUCGUACAAGAAGUACAAUUUUGUGGUAAGAAAAUUUGAUAGUGAAAGUCAUUCACAUAUCAUUUGAGUUGUCACUAUUGUUGUAAAAAGGUCAUACCAUUGCUAAAUAUAAAUUUAGGAGAUUUUUGGUUCCUAAAGGUGUAUUUUAAUGGUUUUCCAAAUACAACAAUAUUCCCACUCACUCUCAAGGAUCCAAUGAAAAUUGGAUACCUAUCACUCUUGUUUGACCUUGUAGGUUGAAUAUCUUGGCUCCAUGGAAAUAAUGUGGUUUCUUGAUAGUGAUUGCUCAAGGCAUAUGACAGGUGAUAUUUUCCUAUUCAUUGACGCCAAAGAAGAAGGAUUUUGCAACCUACAGAGAUAACAAUAAGGAUGCAAUACUUGAUAAAUGUAGUGUAGGAAAUCCCUCUUAUACCACUAUCUCUGACAUUGUGUAUGCAAUACUUGGUAUCUAAAACUCCGGUUAGGUUGUUGAUCGUGUUUUCUACACUACAAUAUUUUUCACAUUAAACAACGGCUGAAAAAUUGUUGUGUACAAUGCGUUUAAGCAAGUCUUUGAAUUUUAAUUAUUUAGUGUUUUUACAACAAAAAAAAAGAAUCAAAUCUAUACUCAAACCCACACUCUUUAAAUUUACAUACAUCACUGAUCCACUCGAAUAUUUAUGUUUCAAUAAUAUGUUACGUCCAUUUAAUUUAAUAUACUACACAAUAAUAAUAUUUUUUUAAUUAAAACUUAAUUUGCACUUUUAUUAGAACUGAAACGUGAAAUUAGGUUUCACUCUUUGAAAUUAAGAACCCGAAAUUAGAUUGCACUCUUAUCAUAACAGAAUUGUGUGCCCUAACUUUCUUCAUAUUUCCUUUCAUUCUCGCGAAAGAUUUAUGCCCUAGCUCUCACUCGUUCAUCUUCGUUCUCUCAUUCGUUCAUAUUAGAUUUUUAAAGGCAUGCUACAAUUUACCAUGAUUUAUGUAAUGUUUGAGACUCAUCCAUUUUUAUUUCUUAUUGCUUUUAAACGAGUUUAUUACCUAUAUAGAAAUGAGUUUAUUUGGAAAAUAUUUGGCGUUGGAUCAAGUGUGGUUUUUAUCUUUUGAAAAGGAUUUAUUUUUAUCGUUUGAUUUUAUCUUUUUAGUUAGCAUGCAUUGAAAGAAAGAAAUGAAAUAUAAACCUAAGCUAUUACACUUUCAUGGGAAUGAGGGACAUAUGACCCACAAUGAGGUGAUGGUACCAAACAAUACAUGGAAAUGAAAUGGAAACCAUACAAGUUACAACCCAAGUACCAUGCAUUGAAAACACUAAAUGAAAGAUAAAUCUAAGUUAUUAAACUUUCAUGGGAAGGGGGAACAUAUGACCCACAAUGAGGGGAUGGUACCAAACAAUACAAGGAAAUGGAAUGGAAACCAUACAAGUUACAACCCAAGUACCAUGCCUAAAAAAAUCAAGUGACAUGGUAUUCUUACAUGUAAACAAUCAAUACAAGGCAAAUGAUAAGCAAUGAUGAUAAUAGGAAUAUAACUUAGAUUGAACUUGAAGUCAUAUGAUCAUGGCAAACACAUAAGGCAAAUAUAGUUAGUAUGGAUCAAGGUAAAUAGAAAAUAAUGCAUCAAAGUAAGCAUAUUCAAUGGCAUCAUAAAAUCAAAUGGAAAUGAAUUCCACAUGGACAAAUAUCAAAGAUUUAUCUCAUGAUCAUGGUGAAAGAAGUGACAUACACAAGGCAUACAUCAAACAAAUUGAAAUGGCAUUUUCAAUUUACAAGAUAACCAUAAACCAAUGGACAAUCAAAUGGAAUUAACAUAAGGUUCAGGAAAUCAUAUAAACAUGGCAUACAGGAAUCAAGUUAGCAAAAGGAAAUCAAAAUGGAUUAUAAAAACAAAUUACAUUUUAACCUAAUCUAAAGAUGAACACAUAUGGGUCAAACAUGGCAAUUUACAAGGUAAUUAAACUCAUGAUCAACAAUUAAAAGAUUAAUCAUACAAAGUGGUAAAAUGAUGAAAUACAAAUCUAAUAUAAACACAUCCAAGCAUGGCCAAAUUAUUCAAGAGUUAAUGGUAAAAUGCAUGUGAAGAUAUGGUAAAAUAAAUGGGAAAAUAUGGUGAAGAAAUAGCAAACAUACGGCAAGAAAAUCAUAGCAAAAUGAACCAAAACAUGGCGGUUAGAAGCAUAAUAUAGGCGUGCAAACCAUGGUUCUGCGCAUGGGCCUGAGUAAGCCCAUUAUUCACUUUAACAUGGAAACCAAUGUGUGUGUGUGUAAAAUAUGUAGCAUGCAUUAAUUAUGGUAAAUCCUAAGCAAUCGGGGCUCAUGCGAAAUACAAGCAAUGCACAUGUAAUGGAUCAGCAUACCAAAUUCAAAAGGAAUUAAAAGAUUCAAAUAAAACACGACAACAGAGAAAUGAGAUAUCUAAGCAACUCAUGCUAACCACCACCGUGGGCCACGCAGACUACCGCGCCGGAGGUUGCCUCUGACAGCAGUGGUGCCAAAAAAACUAAAAUAGGAUCAUUAUCUGAAGUGCCUUGCAAUGCUAAUCAUGGAUAUGGAAUCGAAAUCAUAAAAUUCUCAAAGAGGUGCUCAAAUUGAAGAGGAAUAGGUCAAGAACCCAAGAGGUUCAGAGAUAUAUUAAAUGGCAUGUAUGAGGAAUCAAGCCCCGAGAACUUAGGGCUUUGAUUCCUCUAGGCAAGGUCUACAUGGUGGUAACUAACAAUGGAAGAAAAAUGAAGGUUGAAGGUUACCUCAACGGAGAAGAUGAUCGGAAAAUGCGUCAGGUGUGUUCGUUCCUUACUUCUUUUUGCUUUUAUUCCUCCUCUUCCACUCUUCUUCUUUGUUCUUCCUCUGGAACUAUGAGUUUGUGUGAGUUGAGUGAAUUCUCGAGAGUGAGGUUUUGAUGAAGAUGAAUGAAGUGAUUCAGGGGAAAUUUUAAUGAUGAUGAAUAUGAGUGAUUUCGGCGAGUGUUCAGGGAAGAGAGAGAGCUCUGAGAUGAAAGGUGGUUGAGAGAGAGUUUGUGAGGAUUUUCUUAUUUAUGAGAAAUGCAAGGUUUAAUGAUUAAAUUCAGUUUUAAUGGAAAUGAUUGUUAGUUAGCCAAUGAUUGAAUGAUGAUGGUUCUAUUUAUGAGCUUUUUAGGACCUUAGGAUUGGAGAAUUUUGGUUAGAAGAGUUAGUUGCUAAUUCUGAAAAUCGAGGCCAGUUAGUUAGGUUUUAGUUGGGAGUUAAUUACUCAAUCCAAUGCACUUACAGCUGGCACAUGGUAGUUAGUGUUAGUUAGACGAUAAUGGCACUUUUAAUUAGUGAUAAGGUUAGUAAUGAAUUUGUUAUGAAUUUUUGUUGUUGAACUUUGUAAUGUUGGAUGUUUUUGGAACUGGUAUGCUAUGUUGUUAUUGAAUUGUUUCAUGAGGCUUGUCAUGGUUUGGAUUGGAUGGCAUCUGUUGUAGGUUCAUUAUGUUUAUGCAUGUAAGUUGGUUUGCAGCAGGUCUGAUUGGUUCUAAUGUAGGUGUGAUGAAAGUUAAUGUGAUAAUGGUGUUUAUUGAUGCAAAGCUAGUUUGUCUGCAUCUUUUCCAUUUGGAUUGUCCUAAUGCAGGCAAGCAUUAGGUUUGUAGGAGGCUUGAAUGGAAUUAAAUAUUUGAAUAGAUUUUGUAUGAAAUGAUACUUUUAUGAACUGUGGACUUGAUUGAAUGUAAUGAACUGUUUGAAAUGUAUAGAUGAAAAAUGAUAGUGGACUUGAUUGAAUGGUAAUGAAUUUUAUAAGACUUGAAUUGAGGGGACUAAUGGAAAUGAAUAGUGUGGAAAUCCAAUGAACCAAGUAUAAGAACUAAGACCUGGAAAACUUGAAUGUUCCAUGAAUGAAUAACAUGAUUGAAUGAACCAAAGAUCAAUGGAUAAAUCAUCAAGACAUUGAAAGUGAAGUUGACUUGUAUGGCCAAUGAUCAAGAAUUAAUUAAACCAAGGCAAUCAAGGACUAAUAUGGACAAGCAUGAGUGGACUAAAUAAGAAUGGCAAUGACUAGAUGAAAUGAUCAGAUGAAAUGAUCAUGAAUGGGACAAGAGGGAGUUGGGAUGCCAUGAGAAUAGGCUUGGGCCAAAAGAUAUCAUCAAGAAAUAGAUGGACAUGUAAUGAGUUGAAAUUGGUCCAAUCCCACCAAUGAAUCCUCAAGAUGAACCAAUAACAAAAGGCCUUGAAUGGAGCUUGAACAAUCAAGUGAACCGUGCACAUAGUAAUGGUGGUGAACCAGAUGAAAUUAGGGUUAGGUGUCCCCAAAAGGAUGGAUAUCCAUAAUUGUGGUUUUGCUUCACCAAGAAGUCGCAAAUGAAUCCUCAAAACAAAGCACGCACACACAAAGAUCAAAGGGACAACCAAUUAGGGUUUUAGUUGGUUGAGCAACCUCAAGUUGCUAGGGAACCCUAGCUUCCACUAGGCACACAUAACAAUGCUUUGAAUCCAAGUUACAUGUCCUCUUAUUUUGAGUAAUGCUUAUGCAAGUGAAAUGACUGACCAUGAAGGUAUGGACAUGAAUUAGGGUUAUUUACCUAGGUGAACAUUAUGAAAGGUAAGGUAUAUUUUAGGGUAUGACAGUCCCUGACAGAGAGAUUGAUUUAAUUACUAUUAUUGUUUUUUUUCUUCUUUUAAAAAUUUUUAUACACAUAAAAUAUACCUAUAAAUAAGAAUGCUUUUUUUUAGUAGUCAAAUUAAAAUGUGCGAUCCAUUUUAUUAGAUUCUAAUUAGGCUAUGGCUUAAUUGAUUAAUUGUUAGCUCUUUAAUUUCAAUUAAUGAUGAGUUAGCAAUUAAGGUUUUACCAUGAUGUAAUGCCUUUUAAUUUCUUUCAUAAUUUUCAUGUGCUUAAUGAAUGAUUAUUAGCAUGAUCCCUUUUUGGUGGAUUAAUUGAUCAAUUUCGUUGUUGAUCAAUUAAUUACCUUUGUGAUUUAGAUUUGUUUUUUGACUUUAAAUGAACAGUCGCAUGCUCCCCUUAGGGAUCCUAUUCAUUCAAGUGAUCAUAAGAUCCUUGAUCACUUGAUUGAAUUAGAUUUUUACACUUACGCACACCUGAUCCAUCAAGUCAAACUCAAGUCAAGUAUCACAUUCAAGACUGUUUAAAUAGAAGCACAUCAAGACUUGGUCAUGCUAAGCUUCAUCCAUUUAAACACACCAUGCCUCAUCCCCUUUCAAAAACAAAACAAAGAAGUUAUUUAUAACUUCAAAAUGCUUGUUAAUUACGAUGCGAAUUGUGUGCCACAAACCUUAAGCAAUAGAGAAGAAUGAGAGGGAUCAUUCCUGCCAGUGUUCUGAAUAUCUUUGAAUACGGGACAUAGCCCUCAGUUAUUUAAAGUAUUCACCUUCGUUCAUAGACUUUGUUGUAAUUCAAAUAAAAAACUUUUCAAUCUUAAACCUCAAACAACACCUUAACAAUCCACAUCAAUAUCUUUCUCUUUGGACCAAACACAAUACUCUUUCGAUACCCCUACACUCUUGAGGUUAAUCACAUUCUCUUGGUUAACCACCUUAUUCAUGGGUUAAUCACCUUCUCAUGGUUAAACACUCAUUUCUGAACCAUACACAUCUAUUUGGGUUAAUCACUUUCUCAUGGUUAAAACCCACUUCAUGCAUGUUUGCCUUGUUAGUCACAUGCUUAGGUAAACCCUCAUUCUCAUGCAUGUCUGCCUUUUAAGUCCCAUGCUUAGGCAGACCCCCUUUUCUUUUAUGUUUUUGUCUUGUCAGACCCAAUGCUUAGAUAAACCCUUUUGACACAUGUCUAUCUUGUUAGUCACAGGUUUAGACAUACGACUUCAUGCACGCUUGCCUUGCUAGACUCGUGCUUAUGCAAUCCCCUUCAUGCAUGUUUGCCUUGUUAGUCUCGUGCUUAGGCAAACACCCUUUUCUUGUAGGUCUUGAUCCCCAGAUCCAGGCAAAACCCUGCAAAUUUGCAUUGGCUAAUCACCAUUUAUUGGUUAAACGCCACACUCUUUGGUUCAGACACCACUAUAUGGGUUCAAACAACACAUUCUUAGUCCAAACAACACUUUCACCAUUUCACAAAUCUUUUCCAAUCCAUUCACAAACUCAUUCUACCAUGAACUACAGAGUUCUGAUUUUCUCAUUGCACUAUGAGAAUACGUAGGCACGAGGGUUUGAAUCCUUGGUGAGCACAUUAAUUAAUAAACUUAUUUUUCCCUUAAUUAAGGUCAAUCACAUGUAACCUUUAGAUAAUAACACACAUCCGUGUAAAGAACAAUCAAAAUGGUUCAUGUUGAGUACAACUAAUGUGAGGGUUGCUAAUACCUUCCCCUCAUAUAACCGACUUCCUCACCCUUUUUCUCUUCCCCUUGGGUUUUAUCGAUAUUUUCCCUUUUCUUUGGAAUAAAUAAAGUUCGGUGGCAACUCUGUUAUAUUUCGAGCAUGCGAGACCCUCGGGUAUUUUUCGCGGCACGACAAGGAGGAAUAUGACUUCCAACACAUUUCCUAAUAAGUGAUAUUUCAUAAACACACCUUUACCGUUUGAUAGUGCUAAUUUUGAAUUAUGGAAAACUAAAUUUAAAAUUUUCAUUAAAUCUAUUGACUUAGAAUUGUGGGAAAUAAUAAUUAAUGAUCUGUUUAUCCCUACUCACAAAUUAAAUGGAGAAGUAGUGAAUACACUUGACUCUCUUUGGACCGUAGAAGAAAAGAUAAAAUUUGAAAUUGAUAUCAAAACUAAGAAUUUUUUAGUAAUGUCCUUAGAUGACAUAAAAAUUCUUUAUGUUUACAAUUUCAAUUUCUCCAAGGAAAUGUGUGAUACUCCUGAAAUAAUAUAUGAAGUUUAUCCAAGUAUCAAACAAGAAUAAAUUAACACACCAGGUGAAGAAGGUGAAUGUUUUUCUAAAUUUAGUAAGGUUAGAAGUUAUAUUGGAACAUUCAUUACUAGCAAAUGUCUAAGAUUUAAGAAUUGAAAAUCUGAUCUAAUCCUAAAUCAAAAGAUGGAAGUGCUUAUGAAUUUCAGGAAAAAUUAAAUUAGGAUGAAUUCAUAAAGAAAUCCAAUGAAGUAGCUUAAUUACUUAAAGAUGAAUGCAUAAGAUCAAAGCGUGAAGAAUUCUCAUCAACUUCAUUCAAAUCCUAUCAAAACACUCGCAUGGCUUCCUUAUAAAGAACUUACUCAGUAGUUGAAUGAUCCUAAGAAUAUUUAACAUCAAAUGAUGGAACUUCAUAUGUAAAAAGGAUAUGAGGAAGACACAUUGUCCAAUGGAGUCUUCAAAAGAAGAAAAGAGAACAAAACCUUCACAAAUAAAGAAGAGUCAACCAUAGGGAGAACCAUAUAAUAAUCCUCUUCCAAUGAAGAAGCUGAAGUCUUCUUGAAAGUAUUUCACGAGGAAGAUAAUUACGAGGUAACAUAGCCAUAUUACAAGCAACUUUUGAAAUAAGUGCGAAGUUAAUUAAGGAAAAUGAUAAGUUUAAAAAAUGUAUCUUAGACCUUAAGGAUUAUUUGGAGUUUCUUGAAGAAAGCAAUAAAACGCUUAAGUUAGAAAUGAUUAAUGUUAGAAACUUAGAAGGAACAUGUGAGACUUAUGUCUCGUUGAAAAAGGAAGUGACAAAUUUGCAUGAAACCUUGACUAAAUUUACUAAGGGGAAAGAAAAUCUUGAAUUAAUCUUAUCAAGCCAAAAACCUUUGUUAAAUAAAAGUGGACUAGGAUAUAAACUUGAUAGAGCACCUAAUAAAGGAUUAAAAGUAAAGUAAUCAAACUGACUUGUUUAUAAGUGUUCUCAUUAUAAUAGACUAAACCACAUAUACCUUCUAGAGUCACUAACGCACUUGGACCCAAGAAAAUGUUGGCAUCAAAGGUGUAUUAAAUAAAGUUGCGCAAAUCAAAGAGUAUACUCUCGAGUAUAAAGUGGUUUGUGAAUUUAAAGUCUCAGGUCCAUAAAUGAUCGUUGAUAAUUGAUACCAAUAUUGGUGAUCAAACCAAAACCUUCUUAUUGAGGAUAAUCUUAACACCUAUAAUUUGUGAUUAUCAACUGACCUUAUAAUAGGUUGAGUAGAUACGUAUGUGAUGGACAUAUAUAUCUCAUUGUUUAACCAACAGUCAGUAUCCAACGGUUUAUAGAGAAGGGCAUGCCACAAUGUGUUGAUGUUCCCCUAAAAGAGGGAAGGUUUUAUCUAAGGUUCUUGAUAAUUGAGGUAGAAUUCUAUUUAAGUUGAAAUAAUCGGAAAACUCUUAUUAAUCCUUUAAAAUAGUGCGUUUAAUUUUUGGUCAUCAAUUAAAAUAUUUUUGCUAACCCAAUAGAUGAGUUUUUUAAUCUUUUAUAGAAAAGACGUGAAAAUAUAACUGGGCAGGGUUGCAAAAACUUGAAAAAUCAAAAGCAAAUCCAUCACAAGGCCCAUAGAGCUCCAAGGAUGAUAAAUUACGUAAGCCCAAUAUAUUGUAGCUCUAAGCCAAUCGAUUUACACAACUUGGCGCACAUAUUUUCAAACCCAAUCUAAGAGAAGUGUAGCCUCCAAGUCAACCAGAUCCACUUAUUAAUGAAAAUUGACCAAUAUCUCUCAAGAUUUGAUCACUCAAUCGAUUGUUUCCUUAACCAAAUUGAUUGGGACAAUAAUUUUAGAAUUAUUUUGAUCUAAUUUUGAAUAUGCACAAUCUUCAUUGAUUUCUUGAAAUAUUUACACGGUCAAAUUUUCUUGGAGCCAUGCUAUAAAUAGGUCACCCUCCUUCACUAUUUUGCAUCUCAUAUUUGUUUAUUUACUCUUUCCUUUUAUGUGUAAGAUUAUUCUUUCAAAAUCAUCAUCAAGGAUUCCUAUGAGGCUAAUAUUUUCCGAUAGUCCUCUUUUUUAUGCUUUCACCUCUCAACAACAACAAGAAAGUUUCCUCCAAGAAUUCUAAAAAAACCAUCUUUAUAAUUCACACCUUGGAUCCAAAAGCUUUUAAAUAAUGUGAAUUAUUCAAGAAUUUUGAAGAACUAAAUCUAUCCACCUUCCUCAAGAGCCCCUCAAGAAAUGAGUAUCCAUCAUUAGUUAAUAUUUCUUCCUAAAACUUUACUUCACUAUUGGAAUAGUUUUUUUUAAGUAAAAAGUCAUAAAAUAUCCCUAUCAUUGGAAGAGUUUGCAAACAUCCAGGAUCUUCCUCAUGCAUAUAAUAUCCUCGAGCCAAAAGAUCAAGGCUACAACUUUGACCACAAUAUUGUUGCAUCCUCACAAAUUAAAAACCCUUCAUCCUCGAUACCAAAUAUGUUCACUGUAGGAUGGAUUCGCCCCGACAAUCUCAUGAUCCAUUAUAUGACCAAUCACAUACUUUUUCCAAGAAAAAGCAAUUUCAAUCUCAUAACUCGGUUUAAUAUCGAAGUUUUAUGGAUAAUAGAAAACAAAAUCAAGGAAAAUUGGGCAAAUCAAGUGAUUAAAUACAUUAUGGGAAUCAAUAAAAAAGGAAUGUGACAUCAUAUUAUAAUCUAAUCAUAAAAUUUCUGGAACACAGUAGAUUCAACUUUGAAGAAGAAGAAGAGUCUGUAUAAUAUGUAACAAAGAUAGGAGAAGCAUUCUUGGCAACAAUCAAGGAGAACCUGUAGAUCUGAAAUAUUUUGACUAUAAUAUCCCUCAAUUUCCCUCAAGUGAAGACCUACUCACGACCAUAAUCAAGAAGAUGGAUGAGACAAAUGACAAAAUAGACUUUAUAACUCGACACUUUAUCCAAGACCCAUGGUAAUUUCCUUUAUAUUUGUUCUUGGAUGAUGAUUUAGAUGAAGAAUAGUCUCACUUAUGUGUCUUAGUUUCUAAGUGUGUUUGAUUUUCAAUUUUUUGCGUCUUUUUCAAUUCCUGAAAUUUCUCACUUUCUGAAUUUCAAUUCCAGUAUGAUUUGAAUUAAUAAAGAAUGUUAUUUUCAUUUCAAAAUGAUUUUGUGCCUUUAUGUUGGCAUAUUAAGUUCUCUCAAUGCAUCUUACCCACUUUUUUUAUUUUAACAAAGGGAAAAAAGUAACUCUCAGGAUGAGUAAAGUAUGCUCUCUACCUAAUUGAGGGGGAGUUUAACCACUCUCUCUCUCUAUCUCUAUCUCUCUCUCUCUCUCUCUCUCUCUCUCUCUCUCUCUCUCUCUNNNNNNNNNNNNNNNNNNNNNNNNNNNNNNNNNNNNNNNNNNNNNNNNNNNNNNNNNNNNNNNNNNNNNNNNNNNNNNNNNNNNNNNNNNNNNNNNNNNNNNNNNNNNNNNNNNNNNNNNNNNNNNNNNNNNNNNNNNNNNNNNNNNNNNNNNNNNNNNNNNNNNNNNNNNNNNNNNNNNNNNNNNNNNNNNNNNNNNNNNNNNNNNNNNNNNNNNNNNNNNNNNNNNNNNNNNNNNNNNNNNNNNNNNNNNNNNNNNNNNNNNNNNNNNNNNNNNNNNNNNNNNNNNNNNNNNNNNNNNNNNNNNNNNNNNNNNNNNNNNNNNNNNNNNNNNNNNNNNNNNNNNNNNNNNNNNNNNNNNNNNNNNNNNNNNNNNNNNNNNNNNNNNNNNNNNNNNNNNNNNNNNNNNNNNNNNNNNNNNNNNNNNNNNNNNNNNNNNNNNNNNNNNNNNNNNNNNNNNNNNNNNNNNNNNNNNNNNNNNNNNNNNNNNNNNNNNNNNNNNNNNNNNNNNNNNNNNNNNNNNNNNNNNNNNNNNNNNNNNNNNNNNNNNNNNNNNNNNNNNNNNNNNNNNNNNNNNNNNNNNNNNNNNNNNNNNNNNNNNNNNNNNNNNNNNNNNNNNNNNNNNNNNNNNNNNNNNNNNNNNNNNNNNNNNNNNNNNNNNNNNNNNNNNNNNNNNNNNNNNNNNNNNNNNNNNNNNNNNNNNNNNNNNNNNNNNNNNNNNNNNNNNNNNNNNNNNNNNNNNNNNNNNNNNNNNNNNNNNNNNNNNNNNNNNNNNNNNNNNNNNNNNNNNNNNNNNNNNNNNNNNNNNNNNNNNNNNNNNNNNNNNNNNUGUGUGUGUGUGUGUUGUUUUUACCACCUUUUUAAGAGAUGUGUUGUCAUCAUAAAAAAGGGAGAGAAUCGAGAACCAUGUUUUGUAGGUUAAUCAAAGAAUUAAUCAAAUGAGCUUUUGAUAAUAUGAUUAUGAUGAUGACAACUAAAAGGAGAUUUGAUGAUGGAACCUUUAUGACAACUUGUAUGGAAACUUGCAUAACAAACUUUACAACCUAUGAGGAUUCAAGUAUGACAAGCGGUUAAAUAUGGAAUUAGAAGAAUUAGGGUUUGAUGAUCAUUGCAAAUAUCCUAUGAUUAUGGUACUCAAAUUGAAUAAAUAUCAAAUCUCAUAUCCAAUAAGACCUAAGCAAGUGUUUAUAUUAUUGGUUUACUUAACAAGUCUUGAAGCUUCAAAGUUUGAAAGAGAGGAAGUCUGAAAGCUCAACUUGUCGCGUCUGAAUGAACUGUGUUUUGUUAAAACACAAGGGUUUUUUCAUAUAUUAAGGUUCAAAUAAAACUCACACACACACAUACACACACUAAAAAAAAGUUUUAAGCCUCUGUUUCUUAAGAAAACAUACCUAAAAAUAUUCUGGAGUCGUGUCAGUUGAUUCAUUAACUGUCAGAAUGUUUUGGACAAAAUUUUGUAUUGUCCAAUCGAUUAGAACUCAUACCCAAUCCAUUGGUUUAGUGAAAAAUUUGUCCUUAAAUGAUUAAGACACCGUCUUAAGGAAGGGAAAUGUAUCAAUAUCCCUUCUUUCCUUUUUAAACAUUUUUAAUAAAUUAAUUUUGGGCUUUCAAUUGAUUGGGGCAAGAAGUCAAUCGAUUGGCACACUAAUUUUGGAACCAUGAGUCUUUCCUUUUUUGUUUCAAACUCUAGCCAUUAAAUAGAGGCCUCUCCAUUCACAUUUUCAGAUCCAGAAAUGUGAGGCUUCUAUCUCACUCCUCACUCUCUCUCUCUCUAAAUAUUUUUUACUUUCUCUCACUUUAAUUUUGUCAUAGCACUUUGAGAAAGUCUUUAUUAUUUGGUGAGGAAUUUUGUAUUAUUUAAAGGGUAUUAUCCUUAAGGUAGUGUUUGUUUGGAUUCAACAUCUAAACCAAUUAAAAGCAUUGGUUUGGUUAUUUAGUUUCUAAUUUGCCGAUUCGGUUCAUAAGCUCAACCUUGUUUAAAAGCUUACUUCAGUUCAACAUCAUCUCGGUUUAAAAUUUCAACUCACUUUAUGAGUUCAGUCCGAUUUAAAAGCUUACUUUGGUUUGAGAUAAGCAUGGUUUAAAAUCUCAUUUUGGUUCAUAGUUAUCCUAGUUAAAACCUUGGUUCGGUCCGUGAGUUUAGCCUGGUUAAAAACUCACCUUGGUUGGAGAGGAUUCCGUAGAAAAUAUCAAUUUAGUUUAGGGACUAACCGCUUCAAGUUCAUGUUUGGAAGUGAAAUUCUGGUAUCAGAUAUAAGAUGUCGAAGGUAAUGUCACGACACUAAUAUCUGGUAAUACACAAUGGAUAAACAAAAACAGAAUGGUAAAGCGAAUAACACAAGCAAUUGUUAACCCAGUUCGGUGCAACUCACCUACGUCUGGGGGCUACCAAGCCAGGAAGGAAAUUCACUAAAAUAGAAUUAGUUCAAAGACUCUCCGUACACUUCAACAAGUUACAGUCUUUCUCACCUAAUCUCUACCCGUGCAAUUUCUACCUAAGCACUCUUAGAUAUGAGAACCCACUCACUUCCCUUACAAUCACACACCCGUGAUUUUAAACAACAAUCCCUUGUGAAAAGAAAAUACUUUUCAAUUACACACUCUUGAUUUUACUUCACAGUUUCGAUCAAGAAGACACACUCUUGAUCUUGCUUCACAGCUUUGAUCAAGAAGACACACACUCUUGCUUAACAGCUUUAGAGUGACAAAUUACAACCACAAAUCAGUCCAAUUCAAUCAUCAAUGGAUGACUUGAAUGACCUACAAGUCUUACGACUAAACAGACACAAACCCUAGCUCUCUCUCUAUAUUUCGCUCAGUCUUGGUUGUGUGUUCAAACAGGUUUUCUAAGUCCCUUUUUAUAGAAGCAUCCAGCUGGGCUUGGACAUCUUGAAAACCCUAAAUCUAUUUUCCAAUCAAAUCUUUUUAUAACAGCUGUAUAGAUCUCCUUGGAAAAUAAGUAAAUCUGGUUGUAAUCCAUGAUUGAAUGCGCCAGCUAAUCAUAUCUUCAAUCAUCCAAAGAUUGCCAUUAAUUGUGCAAUCACAAAACACCAGACAUUCAUACUGAAUGUUCUGUGUACAGGAUGUCAUGACAUCGGGUCUGACAUCCUGGAAAAAUCCUGCAUAAUCUAAUAAUUCCUUUUAUAACUUCCAGCAGGUACAGCCAUAUCAGAUGUCAUGACCUUGUGUAUGUCAUCUGAAACAAUCCUGCAUGAACAUGUCUUUCAUUUAAGCUCCAGCAGGUACAUCCAAUAUCAGAAGCCAUGGCAUUGUAUGUGGCAUUCUGAAACAAUCCUGCAUGCACAUGUUCUUGAACUCCAGCAGGUACAUAGGAUAUCUUAUGUUAAGACAUCACAUAUGACAUCUUGUGAGCACUCUUUGUUUUACCAAAAUUGCUGCCAACACUUAGAAUCAACAAACUCCCCCUUUGGUAAAUUUUGGCUAAAACAUAUAUUUGUCCUUUUUUUGUUCACAAGGUAAACUAUCAGCAGUUAAACAACUUAACAGUAGUUUAAUCAGUAGCAGAAGCAAAACAAUUACUAGUUAUGGCUACUAGUAAUACACACAUGCACAAGGGUACUUCUCCUCCCCCUAAAUCUGUGCAACAAACAACAGAAUUACUAGUUAUGGAUGCAACUAGUAAGACACAUAAAUGCACAAGGGUACUCCUUCUCCCCCUAAAUAUGUGCAUACAUCAAAUAACAACUAUUGUAACUCCAGCACCUGUACUAGCCAGAAUGUCAUUCUGACAUCUGCUUCAACAUCAGCACCUGUACAUCAUAUCAGACAUCCCCUUUGACAUCUGAAAACAGAAUAACAAUCUGUUUUAACACCUGUGCACUUCCUUCAAUAACUUCAAUAAUAAUUGUCCUCUAGAUCAGCCAUACACAACUUCCACACAUCAGUUUCCAUAUCAAGCACUUCUCCCCCUUUUUAGUCAAAAUUGACCAAAGGUGACCAAUUAGACAAAAUAAAUGUCUAUUAGCCUAGCAGAGAAUGUUAGAUCAGAUGUUAUAACAUUAAACAUGUUAAAACAAAAUAUUCAGGAAGUACACACCAUCAUUAUACACAGCUGAUAGCUGAGAUAAUGAACAAAUUCAAGGAACUCAUUAAGAGCCCUAAAUAUUACAUAACAGGCAUCAAUGAGGACUACCACAAAAUACAAAAAAAACAGUAAAAACAUCAGUCUUUCAAACAGCAGACCAGCUUCCACCAAACUUUCCAGCACACCUCCCAGUCUUCAAUUCAGCCAGGAACCAUUAAUCAGAAGAAGAAGAAAUCACUUCACCUUCACUUGUAUCUUCACGCUGCACCUUCAGAGAGUUUCUGAGGCUUCCAGACAUUCCACUGAGUUCGGGAUUUUAUCUUGUAUUGAGUCCUUCCAGCCUUCUCUACUUCUCUUCUUCCAGGCUACAGAUAAGAACCUCUUAAAGCUUCUUUUCUAGCCUUGGCCACCCUUAUACCAUUUUCCAAUUCCUUGCAGGUUUCUUUUAGUUGAUCAACCAAGCUCCCUUGAGAUGUAGACUCCCUUUUGGCAGAUGUCAUGAUAUCAUUGACAUGACUUCCCUCAAACAGCUUAUAAUGAAUGGACAGAGGGGAUUUUCUCCUACUUGGAAUGUCACUUGUACUCAGAAUGCCUGGUUGUUGGCUCAGAAUAAUGCCACAAAUAAGGGAGGGGAAGGCAAUGGGUAACUUCACAGCAUUUGUAGAAGCAUGUCUAAUGGUUUGAUCAAAUAUGAACUUGCCAAAAUCAUAAUUAACCCUUGUUCCAAUUGCAUGAAUGAUUCUUCCAAGAUUGAUGGAGAUGGUAGAGACAUGAUUAGUAGGAAUCCAAUUAGCUGAGCCAAUCUUGUGCAAGAUGGCAUAUUUAACACUGAGCUUUCCAGCUGAUAAGUGAUUCCUACUAGGCCAUUACUUAACUUGGCCAGCUGUGAUAACCCUACAGACCUCAUUGUCUGUAGUCUCUAGGUCUACUCCUCCAUCCGUUCCUCUUCCUAGGAACUUGUUGAUGACACUUGGUGAGAAUUUCACACAUUUUCCCUAGCUGUGAUAACCCUACAGACCUCAUUGUCUGUAGUCUCUAGGUCUACUCCUCCAUCCGUUCCUCUUCCUAGGAACUUGUUGAUGACACUUGGUGAGAAUUUCACACAUUUUCCCCUUACAAACACCUCGCAAAACUCCCUGCUGCUCUUUUCAUGAAUAUCCUCAGGGAUAUUAACAAUAAACUCUUUUACCAACCCCUCAUAGCAUUGGGGUAGAGUUACCACAGUCUUCAUGAGUCCAGCAUUUUUGAUCAACUCAAUUACCUCAUUUACCUCUACAACUUCUUGUCCAAGCUCUCUUUCAAUAGCUACUCUCCUUUGAAUGACAUAUUUCCAUUUUGCUGCCCCAUCUUCCAAAUGAAAGGAGAUAUUGUCUAGGUGCAUAGCAUCAGCCUUACCAGGAGACUUCUGAACAGCCUGCCUUUUUGCAGGGGAGAUGUCUGGGACAUCGUCUUUGACAUCUUCCUCAGAGUCAGAGCUAUCUCUUUCUUUCCUUUUCCUAACCUCAACUUUGCUCCAAGCUUUUGAGGGUCCUAUACCAGCAGUCUUUUUCACUCUUCCUGUUCUCAUUCUUGCCACACUUUUCCCUUGCCUAGUUCUNNNNNNNNNNNNNNNNNNNNNNNNNNNNNNNNNNNNNNNNNNNNNNNNNNNNNNNNNNNNNNNNNNNNNNNNNNNNNNNNNNNNNNNNNNNNNNNNNNNNNNNNNNNNNNNNNNNNNNNNNNNNNNNNNNNNNNNNNNNNNNNNNNNNNNNNNNNNNNNNNNNNNNNNNNNNNNNNNNNNNNNNNNNNNNNNNNNNNNNNNNNNNNNNNNNNNNNNNNNNNNNNNNNNNNNNNNNNNNNNNNNNNNNNNNNNNNNNNNNNNNNNNNNNNNNNNNNNNNNNNNNNNNNNNNNNNNNNNNNNNNNNNNNNNNNNNNNNNNNNNNNNNNNNNNNNNNNNNNNNNNNNNNNNNNNNNNNNNNNNNNNNNNNNNNNNNNNNNNNNNNNNNNNNNNNNNNNNNNNNNNNNNNNNNNNNNNNNNNNNNNNNNNNNNNNNNNNNNNNNNNNNNNNNNNNNNNNNNNNNNNNNNNNNNNNNNNNNNNNNNNNNNNNNNNNNNNNNNNNNNNNNNNNNNNNNNNNNNNNNNNNNNNNNNNNNNNNNNNNNNNNNNNNNNNNNNNNNNNNNNNNNNNNNNNNNNNNNNNNNNNNNNNNNNNNNNNNNNNNNNNNNNNNNNNNNNNNNNNNNNNNNNNNNNNNNNNNNNNNNNNNNNNNNNNNNNNNNNNNNNNNNNNNNNNNNNNNNNNNNNNNNNNNNNNNNNNNNNNNNNNNNNNNNNNNNNNNNNNNNNNNNNNNNNNNNNNNNNNNNNNNNNNNNNNNNNNNNNNNNNNNNNNNNNNNNNNNNNNNNNNNNNNNNNNNNNNNNNNNNNNNNNNNNNNNNNNNNNNNNNNNNNNNNNNNNNNNNNNNNNNNNNNNNNNNNNNNNNNNNUUGUGACACAACUUUCUGUAGGUAGAGGCCAAUUCUUCAAAGGUUACUUCAUCAUCACUUGAGUCUUCAUCAGAUCCCCAUCUUCCUGUCAUCGUUGUCACAAGAUUUGCAGCCUCCUCUGUUUCACUCUCAUCAGACCAAGUGGCAGCAAGACUCAUCUUCUGUUUCUUGAGGUAGGUUCCACAUUCAGUCCUGAUGUGUCCAUACCCAUCACAUUCAUAGCACUUAACCUCUUUUCCUUCUUUGAGCUUCUCAUCUGAUCUUGCUCUUCUUCCAGCAUUGUUGGAUUUACUGAUGUCAGAUGAGAUGUUCUUGACAUUUGUCCUUGAUCUUACAUCCAUCUUUUUCAACAGUUUAUUGAACUGUCUUCCCAAUAUUGCUACUUCAUUGACCAGAUCUUCAUCAUCCUCCUGACUCUUAUCCUCUUCUGUAUUUGACAUAAAGGUUUUGCUCUUUGUUUUCCUUUCAAAACCAUCAUUUAAUCCCAACUCAAAGGUUUGGAGGGAACUGUAGCGGUGUAUUCGUCGCUAUAUGAUUUAUCGAUUAAAUCAUAAGCUAAGAGAUACAUGAAAUUUUCGAGUCGCCACCGCACUUUUAUUUAUCCAAAGGACUGGCUAAAAAGCGAACAAAAGCCUAAGAAGUUUUACACGUAGAAAACUAAUAAAAAGAUCAGAGAGUCUGGGUAAGGGGUAAAUUACGCAAUGGGAAGGUGUUAGGCACCCACUACGUCCUAGGUACUCCUAGGGAGCCCUUUUCACACUUGUUGUAAAAAAUUGUUAUUUGUUAUGACAUAAAGAUUGUGCAAACAUGAUUGGGAUGGUGAGAAAAGAAUAUACAUUUUUAGGAUUAUUGGGUUAUUGGGUUCGAACGGAUGAACCCGUUGCCUACGUACCUUCCAUCAAAGGUAAGGAUCAGAACGCCGUAGUUCGGCUAAAAGAUUUCCAAAAGUGGGUUAGGUUCAAUUUUAAACACAAACCCUAGGUCUUACGUUAUCCACGGGAGAAAACUCAACCUUAUACAAACAACAACGUCCACCAUGUGAGAACAGCUUCAACUUGCCAGGGAGGGGUUAACCCUAUAAUAGGCAAGGAAGGCUUACAAUUCAAUCACUAAAGACAGAAGGCGAGAUUAACAUCAACCACUAAGAUAAAUCAAACCUAUAGCUCAUAUAUGAAAGCAUUAAUAAUGGACAAAGCCAAAACAAGUGAAUGAGUGGAAUUACUGAUUGUGAUUAUGAAAGUGAAGUCAAAGUAUGAUUAAGAUUGAUUCAGAUAAGUAUUAUGAAAUGGAGUUUUGAAAAAAAGUCAAGGACUUGGGUCCAGGUUUUUAAUUUGAAAAAAAACAUGAAGAUGUUUGCACAACACUUAUGUCAAGUUUGAAAGAUAAAGUGUGAAAAGGUUUAGGACAUAAUGAGGAUGAAUGGAUGAAGAUGGAAAGUAAAACUUCUUAGAAGGUUCACUUCUUGAGAUCAUAUGGGAGAUGAUUCAAGUGUGUCCUUUGGAAUAGCAAUUAAUAAUAACAAACAAACAAAUCAAGCAAAAGCGGAUAUCGGAUGCCAAUCAAUGGUCUUAUACCAAUCUCCUAAAACAAAACGGGAUGUCAGAUGCCACUCAAUGGUCUUACACUAAUCUCCUCAGACAAAGAAAUAAAAGGCGGAUACCGGAUACCAAUAGAUGGAUUUACACCAGUCUCCUAAAACAGAAAUGGAUAUCAGAUGCCACUCAAUGGACUUACACUAAUCUCCUCAAAAGAAAACAAAGAUGAAAUAUGGAAGUCAACUGCCAAUCUAUCUGGACUUAGGUUAACUCCACAGUAUGCUCACAGGAAAUCCAAUGCCACAUCACAGGGACUUACAAUGGAUCCUCACAUACAAGAACAAAAGCAACAAUAUGAUCACAGGAAUGCAAAUGCCAACUUACAGGGACUUAUAAUUGCAACCUCUCAUACAAACAGAUGAAACAAACUAUGAUCACAGGAAAGCAGAUGCCAACUUACAGGGACUUAUAACUGCAACCUCACAUACAAAUCAAACAGAUCAAAUUAUGAUCACAGGAUAACAGAUGCCAACUUACAGGGACUUAUAACUGUAUCCUCACAUACACACAGAUAAACAGAAGAUAUGAGUGACCAAUGAGGUCUUACACUCUAUCCUUCCAUAUCACAGGAGCAAAUGCCAAAGCAAUGGACUUACAAUUGUCCUCAAUGGGCAAACAACAAUGAUAGCAUCACAAAACAAAUGAGAUGAUCAUGCAUUAAUGGCAAUUGAUGAUGAUGAUAAAUGCAUAGCAUACAGGCAAGCAAGUGCACAUGAAGCAAUCAAUCAAUCAAUGAAUAUCAAACAGCACACUCUAUAGCCAAACAAUGGGGGCUCACACAAGAGGGUUUGACUUUAAAAGUCCACUGUAAUGGGUGAAGGUCGCUCUUAACCUGGCCAUUGAGGGGCUCAGGUGAAGCAGAUGAAUAGGAGAUGAGGGGUGUGCCUCAUUGCUUCUAUCUCAAAUCAGAGAGAGCAUCAAAGAAAGUGUGGGAGUUCAGAAAGUAGGAACUCUCUCCACAUUAUUGACUCGAUUAGAUCUUGGGUAUUUAUCUCAUUGCUUCAACCAUGUAAUGGGAGCAAAGAGAGGACACACUGAAUAGUGGGGGAUAGAUUGCUUAUCCCUACCUUCCACCAAUUGCCUUACUUGAAGGACUUUUCCUGCUUAGGACAAAUAUAAACAAACACAGGCAUUGCCUCUUAAGGAGGACUUCAGACAGUUUGCCCGGUCAAAUAACAGACCGGGUCUCCAGACUACAUGAAGAAGAAGUAAUUAUACCUCAAAGCAAAUGCUAAAAAGCAAAGCAAGCAAGCAAGUUCAAAGAACUUAGGCAACUAAAGUACCUGAAAAAGUCAAACUCAUUAGUAAACAAGUCAACAAUCAAAAUCAAAAGGAAAUGAACCAAUAGUCAACCACAGAGGGACCAAUUGUGCAAGGCACAAAGACUCAAGCAUAUGAGUCACCUACAAAACAAAGGUUAGCACAUUAAACAAUCAAACUAAAACACAUUUGAAUGAUCCUCAAGGCAUUGGUGCUUAACCUGAAACAGAUGAACUCAACAUAAGCUUAGAAGACCACUAGGACUAGCCUAGGGUCAAAGAUGAAAGAAAAAGUCAAGGCAGCAAGGAAAAGUCAACCCAAACCAAGUCUAAACAUUCAAGAAGCAUUCUCAAUUGGAUUCAUAAUUAUAUCAUGCAUCAUGGUCAUUUCAUAUGCAAAAGGAUGCAAAGCAUGGCAAGAGAAGCAUACAAAAGUCAACAGCAAAGACUUCAUUCAAAAGUCAACUCAAACAAUCUCAAAAAUUAUGAAAUAAAUCACACUCAAUCCUAACAUCUAACAUGGUAUACAUGUAAAAUUUCAUGGCAUUUGGAUGAGAGGAAGGCAGUCAAGUAAAAUCAUGAAGUCAAACCAAAUUCAAGUAAGCAUGGUGAAAGUCAACAAGCAUGGGUCAACUUCAAAAAAUCAUAUCAAUUUGAAAACAGAAGAGAAAUGAAUGAGAUUAACACCAAUGCAAAGCUUGAGAUGUCUAGUUAUCACAUAUGAAAUUUCAUGGUCAUACAAUAAGAUUUGAGAAUUUCACAAAAGAUUUGGCAAGGCAUAGCACAAAAAGUCAACAAAUGACCAAGUAUGGAAGAAAAUUCUCAAUCAAAUGGAAAACAGCAAGAUUAAUUCCAAGAAAAUUCAUACACAAACUAGACAUGUGAUAGAUGAUUCAUGCAAAAUUUGGGGUCAAUUGGAUAAGAGGAAGCAUGUGAACAAAAAUUGGGAAAAUGCAUGAUCAUGGUAUAGCACCAAAUGUAACACAUAACUUCAGAAAAUCAUAACUCUCAAUCCACAAAUGAUAAAUGCACAAACUUUAUAUGGAAAUGAAGGUCAAUGUGUCUAGUUUCACCACAAAAAAUUUCAAGCUCAUUGGAUGCAACAUGAGAAUUUCACAAUUGAAAUGGCACAAUGUAUCAUUUAUGCACACAUGUUGGGAAAUCAUUUAUCAUUUAAAAUCCAGAACAUGAAAAAUUAAUUAAAAUUCACCAUAAAAUACAAGACUCGAUUGUGAUCAUGAUGGAAAAAAUUUCAUAAUUUUUGGAUGAAAUUUGAAUUAAAAAUGAAUUGUUUAAGUUGAGUGAAUAAUGGAUGAAGUAUGAACAUGAAAGCAUGGCAAAUGGGGUCAACAUGUGGUCAACCGAUGGCAAAGCUGUAAAUAGCGCGCCACUAAUCGAAGUGCUGCGUUUUGGGCUUGCAAAACGAAAUGUUUUGAUUGGCUCUCAGCCAAUAAAACAGUAACGCGGCCAAUGGUUCAAAAAUCUGGUUUUCACAUACACCCUUAGGGUUUUCUAACAGCAUGGCUCAGCAUCAUGGUUCAACAACAUCCAAUCGAAUUCAAUCAACAAACACACAACAGCAUGUAAUACAUAACAUGUGGUUUUCCUGGGGAAGUUCAAAACAGCAGAGCAAGCUUCAUGAUAUUUCCAGCAAGUUCAUCAUCUGACAAAUAAAUUCCAACAUACACACACAGCAGCACGGCAGUGGUUCACGUGUAGCAUCAACAUCAUGCAGUAAACACAAACAACAAUAGCAUUCAACAUGGCAUUGUGGAAAAAAAACUGGGCAAAGUUUAUGGUUUGGCAUGGACAGAAGCAUGUACAUAUUAAGCAUUAUCGAGAUAACAACAAGACCAAACACAGCAGGUGGAAUCCCUGGGCAGUUCAAUCAUACAGCAAGCAAUAUCAUUUUCAAUGUUUAUCAUCAUCCAACUAAUCCAAACAAACAAUAGCAGCAGUAUCAAACAAAUCAAUAUCUGAUGAACUCGAAAAGCAAGGCAAACAAACAUGGCAUUGGUAUAAGCAUGUUCAUGCAUCAUCAUCAUUAUGCAGCAACCAAACAACAGCAUUCAACAUAUCAUCCAAUCAUGUAAUCAUCAUCAUGUAAUCAUCAUCAUGUAACAUUUCAAUGGUAACAGCAUACAAUAUAUAUUUCACAUGGAUUUUGCUGAGCAUGUGCCUAAAGUUUCAAACACUGCGGCAGGCUUAAUCAAGAACAGCAUUCAUUAUCAUGUCCAUCACCAAAUCAAACAAAAACAACCAACAGCACAUAGCAGCAUAGCAUUCAGCAAGCAAUGUUUAUCAUUGUCACAGCCACAGGACAUGGAAAUCAAUUCAUAAUCAAUUGAAACUCAGCAUAGCAGUACAUGUUCUUUAGCAUAGCAGUACAUGUUAUCACCAACAUCAAAAAUGACUUAGCCCAAACAUACAUCAGCAAGGGUUUAGCAUAGCAUGGUCAUCAAUCAUCAACAUUGAAGGUCAUGGCAAUUGAAAUUCCAACAAUACACAACUGACAUGGCAAUUGGUAAUGCUCACAAUGCAACCAAACAACAGCAUACAACAUGUUUCAAAUUUGCAGCAGGGCAGUAACAGCAUGGUUUCAGUAUUCAAGCACCAACCAUAACCAACAUCAACAAUCAAAAACAAACAAUGUAACAGCAUCACUAAACAGCAUUAGCCAACAGCAAAACAAGCAAUACUCAAGGGAGAAAUCUGGAUAUGACAUCAGGUUUGAACAGCAGCAUUGGCAUUCAGCAUUCAACUCAUGACCAAAACUAAACCAAGUCUCACACAAUCAACAUCAUCAUCUCAUGAUCUUAAUCAUCAAACGACAAUUGCAACAAACAAAUCACACAAAAACAUGGCCUUAAUGCUCAUGUAGCAACAUAAUACAAGCAAACUGAGUAUGAGUCAUAUGGAUUUCUAAGCAUGUUCACACGGUUAUAGCAUUUAAUGGUUCUUUGGGUUCAAGCAUAACAGCAGCAAGGUUUAGCAUGGUAUCAUGGUAAGUUCAUGAAAUAACAUACAACAUUUGAACAACCAAGUAUAAGCAAAACCAACAAUGAUCAUGACCUAUGAAAACAUCAUUAGCAUGUGCAUUAGCUAGCAACACAACACACACAAUCAUGAAUUCCUGUAUUGGGCAGAGUUAUGAUUUCCAAACAGCAGCAGGUAUUAACAGUAUGGCAGCACAUUCAUCAUAACAACAGGGUUUUAGCAUGGCAGCAUGGUAUUUGUAACUUUCAAGCAAUCAACAUCAUGCAUCUUAAAAAACAACAUGCCCAGAAUUACAAGUUAAACACUCUGACAGCAUCGCUAGCAACAGGCAUCAAGAACAUGGGAUCAUAUUUCAUUAAAUCCAAACUAGCCAGGUAAAUCGAACAGAAAUGUGUUUGGACACACAAAAUGAAAAAUGAAGAUUUCUUGGCCAAAACACAACCAAAUUAAGCAUGCUUUAGUUCUCUAGAAUCACCAAAAAAAAUUUUUCAAAACAUACUAUGGCAUUGAAAUGUAUUAUGCAACAUGAGCACUAACAAACAACCAAUGUUCAUGCAAAAAUGAAAGCAAGAUUUCUGGAAGGAAACAGCAGGUUUCUGGCAACAGUAUAACUUCAUAAAAAUCGAAGCAUCCAGAAAGUGAAAUCAAGCAUGUUAAUCAUCACCACAAACCUCUAGCAUGCAUAUUCUACACAUAACUUUCAUGUAAUCAUCCUCAAUAGAACUAUAUCGACUGAAACAUAUUUGAGCACAGGAAUGGAAAUACAUAUAUCUCAAAGCAUAGUUAACUUUUUGACAUGAUUCAAGACUUUAAUCAACCUACUAAGUGAGACCUAUAUGAUGUGUAGCAAGGUUUGAGAAAAUAAUGAAGUUGAAAAAAUUACCUGAUUUGAAAAAAAACCAAUGAAACAGUGCUGUCUGUAUACUUCCAGCUCGAUCAGAGGUCCAACAUGCUUUUGGAAUGAAGAAACUUUGAAGAAUCCUUGACUCACACUUGCUUGAAACUCUUCAAAACUUUAACUGCCACUGUUGGACUUGGUGAUGACAGAACAAGAAGAUGGCUGGACAGAUGAUAUUUGAUGGUUCAAGGAAGCUCACCAAGGUGUUUUUGUGGAGAAACAAUGAAGGUGACUCAAGGGUUUUCAGUGUUUUAGCAGGAUUUUCCGUUUUGCCAAAAAAUGCAAUAUCCGAGUGAGAGGAGAGAGUGUUUUCUGGUUUUGUGGCUGCUGCCAAAAACUAGGGUUCUGAAUCAGCAGGAAAUGAGCCUUUAUAUUGCUGUUUAGCCAAGCUAAUGAGAAUGCUAAGUUGGAUUAGUCAAGUGAAACCAAUUUGCCAUUUUGCUAAUCAUGGAACAAGUGAAAAUGGUGGGUGUGUUUGUCUGCACUAAUGGGCCUGAGCAUGCUGCAGAUGACCAGCACAAAUGCUGUCUUUGGUCUGCUAAAGGAAUGCUGUACUUGCUUUUGCUCUUUUCCAACCAAUUGCUAAAAUUGCCAAGAUUGUACUAUGGUCCAAAAUGGUGGUAAAAUGGUGAUGUGAUGAUGAUUUUUGGACUUUGAGCAAAUCAAAAAUAAUAUAUGAAGCAUUUCCCAAUUGGCAAAAAUGAGAAAAAAGUCCUAAAUCAAAAAGUCAACUGUGAGUCAAACUUUGAUUUUAAAUGCAAAAGGUCCAAAAAUGCCAUUUUGAAUGGUAAGGUUUUAGGUCAUGAAAUUUAUAUUUUUGGAAAGAGGAUGAAAAAUGUGAUGUGUAGGAAAAAACCCCACCAAAUUUGGCCUUAUGGUUUGAGAGUUAUGGCUUGUUGAAGUUCAAAAAUUGGUGAAAAUGAUUUGAUCAUAUCUUGACAACCACACAUGGGAUUUUGAUGUUCUUGGACUUUUUGAAAAUGGGAAGACAAGAUCUUCAACUUUCAUGUUGGGCAAAAAUUCAUUUGAAGCUUGUAUCAUGAUGUAAGUUUAAGAUCAAGAAGUUUCCAUUUUUGGCAGUUGAAAUUACAGGUCCACUUUCUAUUUCUGGAAAAUUUCUGAUUUGACUUGAUUUUCUUCCAUGAUGAGGCUUGAACAUGAUAGAUGAGGCUUAUACAAGCAUGAAUGAACUCCUUCAGAUCAAUUCUAUCCAUCAAAAUUCUGAUUAAAUCAACUGUUGACCAAGUUUGACUUUUUUAGGGUUUUGGACUGAUUGGACCACUUCUGAUGAUUUCAAAACCCUAAUUCCUUGAGAACUUGACUUCAAAUGAUGUCUCAAGUUGUUUGAACCUUUGAUUAUGAUCAUGGUGCCCAAAUUCUGCAAGAAUGGCCACCAUCCAUUGCUUUGACUGAUCAAUGACUGACUUUGACCUAAUUGCUGAUGAUUGCUUCAACUGCAAGCAACAAGGUUAGACUGACAAUAUUUUUGUACUUUUUGAAUGAUAAACAUAUGAAAGCAAAGAUAUACAAAUGCAAAGUAUGCUUGGUGAUCAAGAAACAAACCUACAAGGCAAUCUACCCACUAGGAGGGUACAAAGGCAUGCAAUGAUCCUUGAGGUUAUGAUAUGAAUGAUAUGGGCCAUGAGGGAUCUUAGGGCCCAAAAUUGGGGUCUUACAGGAACCAAUUAGCUCAUCUACCCUCAUGUUGGAAAUGUCUUGAGAUUCUUCUAUGGCAGUCACCUUCAUUACAAAUCUCUUAGGAAGUGACCUGAGUAUUUUCCUUACCAGUUUUUCAUCUAUCAUCUUCUCUCCCAGGGCUCCUGAAGCAUUAGCAAUUUCAAGGAUACUCAUGUGAAAAUCAUGAAUGUUUUCAUUUUCUUUCAUCCUUAAGUUUUCAAACUUGGAGGUGAGCAGCUGAUGUCUAGACAUCUUUACCCUAGAGGUGCCUUCAUAAGUGGUCUUGAGAAUGUCCCAAGCCUCUUUGGCCACUUCACAGUUGUUUACCAGCCUGAAAAUAUUCUUGUCUACCCCAUUGAAUAUGGCAUUCAAGGCUUUAGAGUUUCCAAGAGCAAGGUCCACUCCUCCCCUCCUCUCCAUUGUUACCUCAGGCUUCCCUCAGCCCUCGGUGGCCCUUCUCCCUUCUUUCACGUAAUGCACAGGAGUACCCCACCUGUUAUACACCACAGCUUCCCAAGUCUUGUUACCAACGACGAUUUCAGAAGCUACCCCCAUCGCGGCUUCCAAUAAUUCAUCAGUACAGAACCAUCUCACAUUGGUGGCCUUUGAAACAGAUCCCUCCAAUUCCUCUCUCCAAUUACGUAGUCCCAGAUAAGUAUUGCCUUCCUUAGAUUCUACACGCAGAACCCAGAGCAGCCGAAUGCGCCCCAGCCUCUUGAUACCCACCCCAAUGAAAUUCUGUAUCAAAAUAUAAGAUUGUCGAAGGUAAUGCCGACACGACACUAAUAUCGGUAUACACAAUGGAUAAACAAAAACGAAUGGUAAAGCGAAUAACCAAGUUAAUUGUUAACCCCAUUCGGUCCCCGUUGCAACUCACACAAUACCGUACUCUGAGGGCUCUACCAGCCAGAAGCGAAAACUUCACUAAAAAUACGAUUAGUUUAACCAGACUCCUGUACCACUUCAUAACGUUAUAUGUGCCUUCCUCACCUUAAUCUCUACCCGUCGCAAUUCCUACCGAUUAAGCACUCUAGAUACUGAGAAUCCAUCACUUCACUUACCACAUCACACAGCCAGUGAUUUUAAACAACAAUCCUUGUGAAAAGAAAAUACUUUUCAAUUACACACUCUUGAUUUUACUUCACACAGUUUUAAUCAAGAAGACACACUCUUGAUCUUGCCUCACAGCUUUGAUCAAGAAGACACACACUCUUGAGUUACACAGCUUUAUGUGUGACAAAUUACAACCACAAAUCAGUCAAUUCAAUCAUCAAUGGAUGACCUUGAAUGAACCUACAAGUCUUACGACUAACACCAGACACAAACCUAGCUCUCUUCUCUAUAUUUCGCUCAGUCUUGGUUGUGUAUCAAACAGGUUUUCUAAGUCCCCUUUUUAUAUAAGCAUCCAGCUGGGCUUGGACAUCUUGAAAACCCUAAAUCUUUUUCAAUCAAAUCUUUUUAUAACAGGCUGUAUAAGUUCCUUGGAAAAUAAGUAAAUCUGGUUGUAAUCCAUGAUUGAAUGCGCCCAGCUAACUCAAUCUUCUAAUCAUACAAGAUUGGCCAUUAAUUGUGCAAUCAACAAACACCAGACAUUCAUAACUGAAUGUUCUGUGUACAGGAUGUCAUGACAUCGGGUCUGACAUCCUGGAAAAUCCUGCAAUAAUCCAUAAUUCCUUUUAUAACUUCCAGCAAGUACACGCCAUCAUACAAAAUGUCAUCGAACUGUGUAUUCUCAUCUGAAACAAAUACCUGCCACUGAACCAAUGUCCUUUCAUUUAAAGCUCCAGCAGGUACAUCCAAUAUCAGAAGCCAUGGCAUUGUAUGUGGCAUUCUGAAACAAUCCUACAUGCACAUGUUCUUGAACUCCAACAGGUACAUAGGAUAUCUUAUGUUAAGACAUCACAUAUGACAUCUUGUGAACACUCUUUGUUUUACCAAAAUUGCUGCCAACACUUAGAAUCAACAGGAAGGGAGACUAAUCACUUCUCUCUUGAAGUUCAUGUUUGGAAGGAAGAUUAACCGCUUAUCUCUUUUGUUCGUUGUGUGAUUGGAAGUUUUUAUGAAACUUCAGUUUUCCUUGUAUAUAGGGGUUCGAGAAUUUAACCAACUAAAAGCUCUUAAUCAUAAUUGGACACUCUCAAGAUCAAAUCUUGUUAACAAGAUUAAGUCUUCUCGAUUGAAUUUGUAUAAAUCUCAUAUGUCAUUUCUCCUACCCUUAACUCAUUAUUUUCUGCAUAUUUACUUUCCGCUGCAAAUUUCUAAAAUAGUUUUAACAAAAUGUUUUUAAACUCUAAAAUUAAUAACAAUUCGAUUUUAAACUAUUGUUUUUCUAAAAUCCAGAAUUCACUCCCUCUUAUGUGUUGAGUCACAUGUCCAAUAGUACUUACUUUCUAAUUUGUUGGUGCCGGUGUCAUGCGGAUCAUUGAUGUUUCAUGUGGAUUGAUGAGUAACAAUGUCUUAACCGUUAUUAUUUUUAAAAUGGACAACAAAGUUUCGUUAGUUAUAAAUAAAACAAUUUUCCCUUCGAUUGAUAGCACAAUUUAGGGAAUAUGUAUUAAAAAAAAUUAAAAAGACUAAAAUGCGCUAAAAUGCAUUUGUUGGGUUUCAAUUGGGGACUCAUCAAAAUCUUUCCCCUCGAUUUCCAACUCAAUCGAGCGAACAGAUCAUAAAUAAAUAAAAAAGAAUGCGCUUAAAUGCAGUUUUUGGGAUUUGAAAGGAGAUUGAUCAUAACUUUUCCCCUCGAUUGUAUGCACAAUGGAGGGAAUAGGUAGCAUUUAAAAAAUAAAAUUAAAUGUGGUGCGCCAAUGGUUUAAAACUUGGUUGUUCGUUGGAUAAGGUGAAAAAAUUGUCAUAAAAUGUGUUAUUUGGUGUAGUGUAUUUUUCUAAAAGUUGUUCCAAACUCAAAAUGUUGUUUUUUGUGUUUAAAGCGUAAUAAACAUUUAAAAUAAACUAGAUUAAAACCCGCUCGAUGCGCUGUUGUGAAUUAAUUUUUAUUUGAGUAAUAUUGAAUUUAAAUUAUAUUCUUUUUUUUUUGAAAAAUAUGGUUAAAGAGUUAUAUUGUAACAUCUUAUUAUGAAUUAUAAUAUAGACAACAAUAUGAAUUAAUCAACAAUAAAAAUGAACAUUUUACUUGAAAGAAAAAAUAUAUGUUUGGAAGUUCACAGUUAUAUCUAGAAUUUAGUUUUUGCAAAUUUUAAUAACUCUAAAAGAUAUUACUUGUGAUCAUUUUUUAUAUUUUGAUUCUCAUGUCUCUUUGACACUCAUAUAUGAGAAAUCAAGAAUGUUAUCCUCUGUCUAUAGUUUAUUUGUUCGUCAUAAUAUGAAGAAUAUAAUAGUGACGUUUAUCAAUAAGAUUGAAAAGUAUUGCAUGCUCUAUCAUAUUUAAAUAUCAAUAAAUAGUGACAAACUUUUGAAAUUUGUGUAAUAACUAAUUUGACACUAAAGACAUUUGUUUCAACUUUUAUUUGCUAAGAUUUCAAUAAAAUCAAAAAUAUUUAAUAGUUUUUAGAUUCACACAUCUCUUUUAUUUUUAAAAUUUGAGCAAAUAUACUUAGUUGAAGUAAUUGAUGGGUUGUUAGAUUAUUUUAUUCAAAAUGAGUGUGGCAUUAUAUUGAAAAAAUAUAUCAAAGUUUUUUCUCUAGAUUCACACAUCUCUCUUAUUUUUAAAAUUUGAGCAAAUAUACUUAGUUGAAGUAAUUGAUGGAUUGUUAGAUUAUUUUAUUCAAAACGAGUGUGGCAUUAUCUUGAAAAAAUAUAUCAACGUUUUUCUCUCUUUUUUAUAAUUCAAAAAUUAUUUCAAGAAAAAUAAUAAUACUAUAUAAGAUUUAAACAAAUAAUAUAUAUCAAAAAUUAUAAAAUAGUUGUUAGAUUAAUAUAUUUUUAUUUUUUUCGAGGUUCGAACUCAUGACCUCGAUAAAAGAAUGGUAUGUACUUUGACCAUUAGAAAAAUAAAGGUGAAUUUUUGGAGGUGCCGCAUAAGAAUAAUGAUGAUGGGUCAAAUAUAGAAUAUGUGUCAUAUGAUGUAUCGUGAUAUAAUUCGCCGCUUCAGAUUUAAUGUAUUAUAUAGAUUGAUGUCUUUCGUCUUUUAAUAAAAUUAAUAUAUUACUUUUUCCUUUCUUGGAACCUUAGAAUCAUUACCAAAUGAGAAAGUUUCAUUUUCUAGUUCAUCAUGUUCUUUUCGAGACAUAUGGCUACUUUCACGAAUGUCAAGGUACCAUGAUUUUUUUUGGCUUCCUUUAUUAUUUUCAUGUGUUAGCAACAUUGUUUCAAAUUUCUCUUUAUUUCCUUCCACCUAGUUGUUCUUCUCCACAACUCUAUUUUUGAAAUAUCUACAUUCUAAAAUGUAAUGGUCAAACUUCUGACAGUUGUAACAUUGAUUUUGAGAUUUAUAACUUCCUCCACGCCCUUUUGUUGAGAUUUCUCCUCUCUCAUAACUAUUGUUAGUGAAAUUUAAAAUUCUUCCAUAGUUACCACGUCCAAAAUGUCAUUGGUCGUGACAUUGUUCUUGAUCUCUACCUCGACUCUGUCGGCAUCUCCCAUUUCUUUGAGUUUCUUCAUUCUCCUUUAGUUGAAUAUUGAAUAUUUUUCCCAUGAUUACUUUAUUCUUAUAUUUUUUCUCAUAAGCUAGUAAUGAUUCUUGAAGUUGCUCUAUUAUCGUAGUAUCUAAAUCUUUUGUUUCUUCGAUUAUCACAACAAAAUACUCAAAUUAAGGGUCUAAUGAGUGGAGUAUCUUCUUCAUAAUUCUCAUAAAUUCUAACUCUUCUCCAUUUUUAAUUGAUUUUAAAUAGUGAUAACUCUUGAAAAAUACUCAAAAAGAGACUCUGAAUCUUUCAUAUGCAUGGAUUUAAACACCCCUCUUAGAAUUUUGAGACACCCCUUCUUUACUUUAUCUCCAUCUUCGAAAGAUUUUUGGAGCUUCUCUCACGCUUUCUUAGCCGUUAUUGCAUUUGAGAUUUUCUCAAACUCAUUUUCAUUCAAUUCCUGGUGAAUAAGGAAAAUAGUUUUCUUAUUUCUUUUUAUUGAAUCCUUCAAAACAUCCUUCGGUGUUUGAGUUAAGGACUUUUUGUCUUGUUAUUCCUUAUAACUUUUUUCAAACAUCUCAAACAUCGUUAUCGUGUGCUCUAAGAAAAGGAAGUUUUACAAAUUUGUUUACUUACUAGAUUUUUACUACCUUAGUUUACAAAUAAUAAGCUCACACUAUUUAUAGGAAAUAAGGAAAAGUUAUACAUAAUCUAUACAUUAUAAAUUAUUUUAGAUAUUUCAAGAGAGUUUUCUAUACACUUCUCUCUACUACAUAUAUUUAUUAUUAUGCAUUUAUCAAUAGAUUGCUACGUCUCUCUAGAAUUUCCUUUGAACUAUGUACUAAUUAACACUCUUGUUGUAAUGGGUAUUACUCCACUGUUAUUAUUAGGAUUAUAUACAUGGUAUAGGCAUAAAUAAAUUAAAAUAGAGGAUUAUUCUUUAUAUUUUUUCUAUUUUUUUUCUUAUUCAUUGUGAAUAUAUAUAAAAUAUUAAUAGUUAGUUUCUUCUUCUUCAUUUUUAAUUUUGUAGUUUUAUUUUUUAAAUUAAUUAUGUAUUUAUUUAUUUUUCAAAUUUAAUAAGAAAUUAGUGAACAUGAGAGAGGAAUAGUGAGACAUAAUAUAUCAUUUUAGCUCUUAUAAUUUUUAUAUAUGUUCAUGUAAAAAUGUGAUUAGUUCAGCUGGUUCUUACUAUUCAAAUUCAAAAUGAGCAAUAUAUUCUAAAAUAAUAAUUCUUGAUUUUUAGAAUACCGAACAAUUGUUAUAAUAUUGGAAUUGAUCGAGACUCUAUUUCCAUACUGGUAUCUACUAAGGAGAAUGAGACUCUCUAUGGUACUCCAGGUUCUAAGGAUAAGCGAGACACGAUAUUUUGUAUGAAUGGAGCAGGUGCCCCAGGUCUAGAAGGGUCUGGAUGACACUUUUCAAAAUAACGUUUGAACUAUGUCACACUUUGAUAAUCAACUUCUAAUGAAAUAAGAAACAAAAAUGACUAUGAUAACUUAUCAAACUCUUGGUGUGCAAUAAACACCAAACUGAUUUUCUUUUGUGUUGAUGAUACGAAAAAUCAAUUGCAAUUGUUUAGAUUCCAAUUAUCUUACAAAACAGAUUGAAAGAUUUCAACACAAACAUAAUUUUCAGUAUAUGAAAUUACACACUAAAUGAAUUAUCAAAUUGUAAAACGAGAGAGAGAGAGAGAGAGAGAGAGAGAGAGAGAGAGAGAACAUAAUAAUUUGUUUAGGCAGUUCCCCGAUUGUCCUUAUUAUGGAUACAUUUUCCUCCAAUUCCAAAUGGAAUUGAGAUAUUCAAUUAACCUUUACAAAUGUUGUAUACAAGAGAAAAAGUUGCAAUCCAAACCCCCAAACCCUAAGUUUGAUGUUGAUUUUAUCUUCUUCUUCUCCCUUGAUCUUAAGCAGGAUCAAGUGACCUAAUAUUUCCAAUUCGAUCAUUCGGUUACCGCUACUCCUUUGAAAGAAAACCUUGUUCUUCAAAGCUUUCACUCGGUUGAGUCCUCGUUGUGAAAUCUUGUGCAAAAAACCCAAAUCAACCUUGAUCUUUAAGGGAAAACCCCAACUAGUUUUAUCAAUGAAACCCCCAAAGAAUUUUCAACCUAAUUUGAUUACAACAAUCCUAAAUUGGACCUUAUAAAUCUUGAUCUAGAUAUCAUCUAACAAAAAUGAUUAUGUGUAAUUGUUGUGUGUAUACAUAAAAAAAUAUUGAAGAUGAUGAGCAAUGCUUUGUUUGUUCUUGGUUUCAAUUGCUUGAAAAAUAAUGCAUGAAUACGCGUGUGUGUGUGUGUAUAUAUAUAUAUAUAUAUUUUAGAAAAAUUACAAGUUUGGAAAAAUUAAAGUAGUAUGUAUUGACUUCAAAAUCUUAUGUGUUGCACAUAUUGUCUAUGUAUUGACUUCAAAGAAGCAUGUAUCAACCCACAUGUGCUAUGUAUCGACCCAAGAGCCUUAUGUAUCAACACAUAGAAGGCAAUGGCUUUUAUUUUAAAGGUCUUCAGUAUGUGUCGACCCAUAACAUGGAUGAAUCGACCCAUAACCUUGUUUUUCAUGUAAAAUCAUAAUUUUAACUUGUAAAAACCAAUUUAACCUGAUUUUAAGUGUCCUAAUAUGAAAAUGCACAUCUAGACUUAGAGAAUAAAAUUCAAUAUAUAUAUAAAUACUAAGUGUCCUAGUUUUUACAUCAUUGAAAACCUUUUCUAAAAGAAUAUGCAGUCACAUAUUCCCUUUUUUUUAUGAUGACAAAUCGUACGAAGUAUUUGAUGUCUUAUCAUAGCUCCCAUUGAAUAUGUGCACCCUUUGACAACAUCAAAAAUAGACAAAUCCAUAAAAUGUGAGAAACAUCGUGUAAAACUUACAACAACAUAUAUAACACGCAUAGACGUUGCAAGGAGAAUUUGUUCAACGAUGACGUGCACUCACAUAUCAUUAGAAUGACGUUAAAGUGAAGAUUUCUUAUACAUAAAUCAACAUGCAAUUAAUUCAAGAUUACAAGGAGUUCAUUAUAAGCACAUUAUAACAUUGAUAAAAUAGAAAAGCAGGAGGAUAAAACAAAAUAACAUAAAUUACAUGCUCAAACAUCACUAGCUUCAAGAAUACUUCCAAUGUGAAGAUAUAAAAGCAUGAGACACAUAUGAUAAUGACAUACUAAUAUGAAGUCACUAUAAUCAUAUAGAUUGAAACAAAGAUGGGUUAACAACGAUUUUUUUGGAAGUGAGCAUACAUGAAAAGUAUCAUUUAUCAAAUGUAGCGCAUUUGGAACAUAAACAUGCAAUCACAUAUAAGAGACAUAUAAGCAACACAUGAAAUAAAAACUUUUGAACAAAGAGAUAAGUGAAAUGAUACUACCUCAUAUGAUGAGAUAUGGUGAAUGCACUCACAUGAAAUGGAACUUUCUAACGUAAGCUCUAUACCUUUUGAUGUCAACAUCCUUACCACUUUCAUUUUUGUCUAAGUUCCUGUUAAUGGGCAUUUAAGUGUUGAUUGACUUUGCAUUUGUCAUUCCGAAGUGUUUAAGCAACUCUUGGAAGUAUUUUGAUUGACACAAAAAUGUCCCUUCUUUGAGAUACUUGAUAUGAAGUUCGAGAAAGUAAGUUAACUCUCCCAUUAGACUCAUUUCAAAUUUGUCAUGCAUUAACUUUGAGAACUCUUUAACUAAUUGCAUGCUAGUAGAACAAAAUAUAAUAUCAUCAACAUAAAUUUGAAAUAAUUUUAAAUAUUUAGAGUAUGUAAAAGCUAGUAAAUGGCAUAUAGCCUCGAGGCAGGAAACUGGAGCAUAAGUUUCCUCAUAAUAUUUGUCAUCCUCUUGGUUAUAUUAUUGAGCCACUAGUCGGGACUUUUUCCUUGUUAUCACUGAGGAAUGAAUUAUUUGAAGGUAUUGAAUGAAGAAAUAGUGUAUGGAUGAAUGUUUCUUGUUAUCAGAGGCGGGCAUUGGUUAUUGGCCUAAAAGUAUGUAUGGGACUCAAAGAAAUAAUAUAUUUGGCUUAAAGAGAACAAUAUAUCACUAGGGAAUGAAUGAUUUGAAGGUAUUGAAUGAAGGUAGUGAAUAGCGGAUGAUGAAAGGUGAAUGGUAGGCUAGAGAGAAAUAAUUAAUGUGCUCGCCAAUGAUUCGCAUCCCCGUGCCUACGUAUUCUCAUUGUACAAUGAGAAAUUCAAAGGUCACUAGUUCGUAGAACUAACGCAAAAAGAACUGAAAGGUUUGGCAGAAGUGAUGAAAGGUAUAUUUGGAACCAAAAGAUAAUGGUAUUGUUUGAAUCCACAAAGGAAUGAUAUUUUAACCAAAGAGUAAAGCAUGCAUCAAGCUAAAAAAUAAAAGGUAAUGAAAUAUUUGCCGACGAGACAAACAACUCUUGGUUCAAAGGUGGACACUGGUUAUUUUCCUAAAAUGUAUAUAUGGAAUCUAAAGAAAUAUUGGUAUUUGGUCCAAAGAAACAGUACAUCAUUGAGAUGAAUGGUUAUGAUUGAAGAUAGCUGAUAAUAGAUCAUGAAAGAUAUGGAUGGUGCUUUAAGGAAGAAGGAAGAAUAAUAAUAAAUAUGCUCGCCAAGGGUUCGAACCCUUAUGCUUAUGUAUUCUCAUCAUGCAAUGAGAAAGUCAGAGCUUCGUAGUUCGAGGAACUAAGACGGAACAAAGAAAGAAAGAUUUGAUUGGGUUGCCAAAAGGCGAAGCAAAUUGCUUGAAUAGCAAGAGCGUGACAUUAACCAAUGAGUGGUGUUUAGCCUAAGUGACAAAAGAGAGAUGAUUGGCCUACACACGAGAGGAUUUACAAGUCAAAAGAGCUCGAAGGGGUUCACCUAAGUACGAGAAGUCUUAAAAGGAGAACAAAUAAUGAAAUAUGUUUUGCCAACAUAGAGAGGGUUUACAAGGCAAAAGAGCUCAAAGGGGUUUGCCUAAGCAUAAUAGGUCUUAAAAGUAGAAAAAAUAAAUGAGAGAUGGUUUGCCAACACACGAGAGGGUUUACAAGGCAAAAGAGCUCAAAGGGUUUGCCUAAGCAUGAGAGGUCUUAAAAGGGGAACAAUGAAUGAAAGAUGAUUUUCCAACACACGAGAGGGUUACAAGGCAAAAGAGCUCAAAGGGUUCGCCUAAGCACAGGAGGUCUUAGAAGGAGAACAAUGAAUACAUGAUUAUUUGCUAACACGCAUGAGGGUUUACAAGGCAAAAGAGCUCAAGGGGUUCACCUAAGCACGAGAGGUCUUAGAAGGAGAACAAUGAAUAAGAGAUGAUUUGCCAACACACGAGAGGGUUUACAAGGCAAAAGAGCUCAAAGGGGUUUGCCUAAGCACAAGAGGUCUUAUAAGACAAACAAUGAAUAAGAGAUGAUUUACCAACACAUGAGAGAGUUUACAAGGCAAAAGAGCUCUAAGGGGUUCACCUAGGCACAAGAGGACUGAUAAGACAAGCAAACAAAUGAAUAGGGUUUUCCUAAGCACAAGAGGACUUAUAAAGAAACCGUGAAUGAUAGAUUGAUUAGGAUUCAAAUAUGGGUAUUUGAUAUCAAGGAGAGAGUAUGAUUGGUGAUCUAAAGAGGACAAUGAUCAAUGAAGCAAUGAUGUUGCACCAUUGAAGUGUUGAAUUAUUGAUGUGCUUGCCUAAAGAAGACCUUGUCAAUUGGUUGAUUCAAAUUGCAUUAAAGUCUAUGAACAAAGGCGAAUACUUUGAGUAACUAGGGCAUAUGCCUCGUACUCAAAGAUGCUCUAUACAAGGAUAGAAAGGCUCCCUCUCAUAAUUUUUUGUUACUUAAGGCUCGUGGCGUGUAAUUCUCAUCAUGAUUAACAAGUGUUUAAAGAAGAUUAUGAUAUAUGAUUUUGAUGAUGUAGUGUUGCUUGUUGUAGGAGGAAACAUGAAAAUCAUUUGAUUCGAAUUAUACUAAAUUUUAUGAACGAAGAUGAAUACUUUAAGUAGCUAGGGCCUACGCCCCGUACUUAAAGGUACUCUAGACAAGGGUAGGAGUAAUAUCUCUCGUCAUUCUUCGUUGCUUAAGGCUCAUGACAUACAAAUUGAAUCAAGAUUGACAAAUGUUGAUACACCUUUGGUGUGCUUGAUAGUAGUCUAGUUUGUAUGCAAUGCUUGACUUAUAUUGACUUGAAGUCUGAAGUCUUGAUCUUGAGUCUUGAGCUUCUGAGAUCCAGUUCAACUUGAACACAAGGGACUUGUCCUAUGAAGUGCUCAAGGGUCUUUUGAUCACUUGAACAAGCUUAGGGAAUUAUCACAGUUAAAAGGAUUUGGUUGAUCAAAGUAAACUUUGAUCAACUCAAUCAGUGGGAAUGAAGAUCAAUAGUUGAAUUAUGUAUAAGGGAUUGAGAAUCUAGAAACCCUAAAAUCAACCUAAACUAAGGGAGCAUAUCAUUGGUUAAGAAUGUAACUAAUUAUAAAAUCAUAUUAAGGCCUAACAAGAAUCAAUGUGAUUAAAAGAUCAAUUAAAUCUAAAAAAAAUUAAGGACAAAUAAGAUUAUAAAAUGAAUUAAAACCAAAUACACUAAGUAUUCUUAAUAAUUUGAAUUAAAGUCUAACCUAAUUAGUACUAGGUUAAUCAUAUAUUUUUCAAGACAUUUUCAAAACAAUUAAGAAUUAAAUGGAAUCAAUUAAUCCUAAUUAGAAAAAAUAAUCAUGUUAAUUUCCUUUUUUUGCAUCAAUAUGAAUUAACUACAAUUAAACAAGUAUGAACGAAAAUGGCACAAAAAGAAAUUAGCAAAGAAGUUUCAUAAUUAAUUAAAAUAUAGGGGUCUAUAUGGCCAACAGGGUGCACAAAGAAAAUCUGGCGCAUGGCCCAACAAGGAGGCCCAUUACUAAUUAAUGUAUAAAGACAGGGGGUUUAUGUUCAAAACAAUGAUUACAUUCAGUAAAAUGCAAGGCCCAUUGGAACGAGGCCCAAUCAUGAAUGAAGGGAAAUGUGAUCAGCUGAAAAUUCAAAAAACGCAUGCAGUAAAACAAGAACAAUUCACAUAACUCAGGUUAGAGCCACCACCACCAACCACCGCUCCAGAGGUUGCCUCCGUCAACUAUGCUCCAUCGAAACGAAAAUGAAAAAAACAUCAUUUGAAUUGUGGCAAUGAGCUGAAUACAAAUCAAGGUCCAAUUUCACAAGAAAAUCACUCAAGGAUGCAAACCAAGGAGAUUUAGCUCAAGAACCCUAACCAAUCCAUGUUAAAUUAAACACUAAUGCAUCUUUGAACCUAACAAUAGUCAUGGGGAAAUGAACCAUAGAAACCUGAAGAACAAGAUUGCAUGAAGAAAUUGGUUAUAAGAGAAAUGGAGAUUCUACCAACAAGGACGUGAUUUACCCCGAUAAUUGUGUCAAUUAAAGUUGAUGAAGGAUGGCACAAGAAACCCAGGUCCAAGCUAUAAAUUCCUCAGUUACAGAUCCCUAUCUCUUUGAUUUUGAUUCUUAUCACUACGUAUAUAGCUUCUUCCUCUUCUUCUCCUAAAUUUUCUUGUUUUUUGUGAAUUGUGGUUGUUGUUGAUGAAUGAAGUAGAGUUAGCUGAAUAGAAAUCAGAUGUAGAGAUGAAAUAUUAAGAGGCUUGAUGAAUAUGGUGAUGGAAUCAAAUGGAGGUUUUAACACGCCUUCAUUCAAGGUCCAAUUGUGGGACUUCGACGAAGGCUAGGGAUGUGCUCUGAGUAAUUUGUGGUAAAGGUUGAUUGAAGGUGGUGAAAUGGUUGAGAGGUUAAAGAUGAUGCAGAGGUUUCAUGUGGAAAUGAUUCAUUGAAGAUGAAUGUUGAGAGAUUGGUGAAUUGUGAUGGAAAAUUAUUGAGACCCCCGUGGAAAUGAUUGCAAGUUGUUUAUAUAGGUUGUUAUGCUUUGGAGUUUGUGAAAAGUCAAUUGAAAAUUAUAACCGAAAUAUGUGGAAAUCGAGGGGAAAAGUUAGUUGGAAUUCCUGAAAAUCUAAUUGGUUAGUUAGGUGAAUGAAGUGGUUAGUUAACUGGAAAUGUUAGGUUUAGUUAGUGUGAUACUAAUGUGGUUAGGUUAACAUGAGUUCAACUCAGUUUUGCUCGAUUUUAUUUAUUCUGCUCCAGCAAGUUUGUGCCAUUGUUCAAUGGCUGGUGGUCUGCAGGGUUUGUGCACUGAUCAACUUGAUAUGUCAUGUUGUUGUUCCAAUUGUGUACUGCAGGUUUAUUGAUCACUUACAACAGGAUGGCUUGGUCGAUUUUAUAUGGUGAGAUGGUUGCAGGCCUUUGCUCAUGCUUGCUGCAUAAUUAUUGUGAGGUAAUGGUGGAUGGUUGGAGAAUGUUGGUGCAGUCUGGCUUGCGGGUUGAUCAUGUUUUGACUUUGCAUUUGGUUGAUGGCAUGUGUAGGUUCAUUUGCAAUGGAUGGUAGGUUGUUGUGCAUUAGGAUGAUGUUACAUGUUUUACUUGAUGCAGGAUGUUGAUGCAGAUUGGCUGCUAGGCUUGGACUAGUAUGUUUUGCUAGGUAGGUUGUACUAUUCAUGUUUUGGUAUCAUGGUGUUUGUGUUAUGCCUUUGUGUUAUGAAUAUUAUUGAAUGGUUAGUGAUGAGGGCCAAAUUGGGUUAUAAUUGAUAUGUAAAAACUUGACAUUUUUCGAACUAUUUUGCGGUUUCAUUGAUUAAUUUCCCUAUGUUUGCCACAAAUGUCAUAUAAAUUACAAUUAACUUUGGUGUCCUUGAUUUGUGUGUUAGUGUGCAAGAAAUGGUGCAAGAAACCAUAGGAAAAGACAAAAUUCAAAGAACAAGGAACACAGCUAAGAUGGGAAGUUCUGGCAUGGUCGUCGGGCAUGAGUUGGCGAGAAGAAAGCGAGCUCGCCCGACGAGCUUUGGAAAGCUCGGGGCGAGACCAGAGAAAUGAAAUCCAAGGGAAAAUCUUGCCCUCGUCGCCCGAUGAGGGCUUGUGAUUUUGAGUUCUCUGGGCGAGGCCUUGGUCGCCGGGUGAGAGAAGAUAUUUCGCUGAAGGCAGUUUGAUGCGCUCUAACUUCCAGCUAGGCCAUAAAGAAACUUUCGUGGGGCGAGGAUCAGUUUGUCGGGCGAGACAAAAAAUUUCCAAUUUUGUAUAAAUAGGUCCAAAUCAUACUUUUAACCUCUCUCUCUGUUUUUCUCUGAUAUUUUUCUUGAGCUCUCUUGGAAUAGCCAAGAGAAGCCAUUUUUGGAGAGAGUAAGGCUUAGAAAACAACAAGUGGAAGGUGCUUCUUGAAGAUCCGGAGUUGGAUUCGCUUCUAUCGUUGGGAAAUCAUGGUGGGUGCUUAUUCCUCUACAUCCUUCUUUUUGUAUCUAGAUACUAUGUGUAGCUAAAUCCCUCUCUUGUUGGGAUUGGAUGUAAGUUUACUGGUAUAAUAUGUAUUUUUAUUAAUCAUGGCAUUGUAUACAAUCUAUUCACGAAUCUUUAUCAAUGUUAUUCUUGUUUACAUAUUUAUCUUAUGAUUUGAGUUGUUACUGAGAAUUAAUCUUCGAAUAUAGAUAUAGGAUAAACAUUCUAUUAGAUUCUAAACACUAGACAUAAAUUUAGGUUUAACAUUCACCGUGUGUAUAGAUUCUUAAUGCUCUGUAUUGUUUAAUAGGCUGAGAGAUUGUCGAUUAAACAAUAAGGUAGAAAUCUCAUUGGAAGUUUAGACAUGAACUAUUUUGUGAGCAAUACGUGAUGAUAUUAACAAAUGUUUAUGACUGUGUACAACUGAUUGGUAAGUUGCGUAUUUGAUCGGUAGAUGAAAUUCAAUCUUGACAAGUUCUCACCUCUCUAGAGCUUUAUUUUUUAGUCAUCCAUUUUAGACAAUGCAACUUUAAAAUAAAACUUGCAAACCAAGCUUAAAAUCUUAGUAACUGUUGAACGAAAUUGAUAUCGCACUAAUCCAUGUGGAGACGAUAAAAAAUAUUUACCCACGAUAGCAUUCAUACUACAAUCAACAGUUAGUUGUUGGUUGUAGGUUAUUGGUUGUCAUGUGUUAGGUUUGGGUUAUGGUUGCUUGGAUUAUUGAACUUGCAAGCUUUGAAUGUAUGGUUAUAAAUUGAUGAUGCAUGAUAUGCUAGGUUAAUGAAUGUUUGGUAUUAUUAUGAACGUGUUGUAAUGGGCCAUGAAUGUGUUUGGUUUUUUGUAGGAUGGCAUGAUGAACAUGGUUUGACCAAGGGUAACUUGAAUUUGAAGAAAGCAUGAUGGAAGCAAGCAAAAAUGGAUUUUGAUGAUGAAAUAUGGCAAAUGGUAUUAUGUUAGGCCUUAUCAUAGUCAAGGGGGGUCAGUUGACUUUGAUCAACUGGUUGACCAAAAAGUCAACUAUUGACCAAAAGUCAACUGCUAUAAAAAUGAUAAUUUUUGUAAUUUUGUACAUGUAUGGACUUUGAAUAUGAUUAUUGAAAUUCUGGCAUAGUCAGAUUUCAGAUGUUCUACUCCAAGUCAUGACAUCUGAUUCAACAUUGUAACUAAUAUUGCAAGACAGUUAUUAAACCCUGUACUAAUAUGCACACGUUCACAGAUGUCACGACAUCUGCUUCUAUAUCACCCUAGAAUGGAGGAACACCUAGUUCUGUGCAUCUGGUGGAAAGAUUCACAGAGAUCAUCCAUAGCACUAAAUUCUGUUAUUUUCCUACACAAGUCAUCAACAAGAUGUCUCAAUAGUGAUUUGAACAUCAACUGUUACAUUAUUCCAGUUUGCUGGCCUUGUACAUGUAUUUCCUAAAUAAAGGUUGAACACGUUAAUCUAAUUUCCACUUAUUAGAUUGCUAACAAAUUACUAUUGUUAGGUUCAUUAAUUGUAGGUUAGUAGUUAGUUUCCUGGAUUUAGCUCAGCUGUUGGAUUCCUAAAGAAUAGCCAGAGAAAAUACUGAACAGAAAAACCAAUCAUCCUACACUUUAGCACAUGCUGUUGAGAAUGAAUGUCACAACAUUCAGGUCGACAGCCAGAACAUAUGCUGAUUCUGUUAUGUUCCUGAAAACGGACAGUGCUAAAUUUGUUGUAUAUGUUGAAAAGACCAACCAGUCUCUACCUCAGUAUCAGCCUACAGGAACAACUGUCAAGACAUCCAGUUUGACAGUUUCACAAUGAUCCUUUGGCCAGGUCUGUUAUCCUCGUGAAGACCAGACUUAAGUAAAUACUGAACUGAAACCAACAUGCCAAUUAUUCAGUAUAUGCUGUCACUGAUGAAUGUCACAACAUUCUGAUUGACAUUCAAACAGAAGGCUAUAUCCCAGGUCUGUUAUUAUUUUGAUAAGCAGACUGAAAUACCAGCUAUGUUAUGGCAAAAGGAUUUUAACAUGCAGAAGGAAAACAAACACAGGAAAUUGUUAACCCAGUUCGGUCCAACAUGACCUACAUCUGGGGCUACCAAGCCAGGAAGAAGAUCCACUAUCAGCAGUAUUAAUUCAGAGUUAAACUCCCCCGUUUACAACUCUUCACUUAAUCCCUACCCAAUGCAAUCUAUAUCUAGGAACUCCUAGAUAGAAACCUCCAGUUUCCGUUCCUAUCACUACAAACCAAUGUAAUGUUAAAUAACUUGAACUUACUUCACAGCUUCGUUCAAGCACAUAAUCACUCUUACCUACAGGCUUUGAGUUACAAAUACUCUCAGCUUUGAACACUGAGAACACAUGGUAACCUUCCCACAAGUUGGGAGGUUUACCUCACACACACCCCUAAUUUUUCAUUCUAAGAGGCUUACAAAUACUAGGUUACGAUAUGCUAUUAUAACCUAAUCACCCAACUGGAUUUGGGCCUUCAGAAAUCGCAGCAAACUUGUUCUUUGCUGUUACAAAGUCACAGAAACUUUCUGCUACAAUCAAGGUCUUUAAUCCUAAAAUCUCUCUAUAUAUAUCUCCUUAUUUUGAGCCUAUAUAUAUUCUGAUUGAGUCUUUAAGACCUCCACAUGGGAUUAGGAUAUUCACCAAAUAUCCUCACUAAUCCCAGAAUAUAUACUGAAUUAAUUAAUUCAGUUUUCUGCACAUGUGCGAUGUCACAGACAUGAUGUCGCUACAUCGUACAUGACAUGUUGGUCCAGAUGUUGAAUUUCUUCAACCCAACAUAUUAAAACAACAGAGAUGAUUACAUUAUUUGUUUUACAAAAUUAAUGCCAAUCCUAAGGUAUUAACAAUUAUAAAAUGAUACUUGGUUUGAAAUGAAAUGGUAUGAAAUGAAUUGAAUGAGAAAUCCCAUGAAUUGGAUUGGAAAUUGACUAAUGGAAAUCCAAUGAUACAUGCACUCAAAGCUAAAACCAUAACAACUUGAAUGUAUGGUGCGUAUGACCUAAUGAAUGACAAGACUUGGAUGAAUCAAAGGAUAAUGUAUAAUCUACCAUGGCAUUGGAAAUGAAAUGAAUGAAAAUGGAAAUGGAUUUGAAUUAACAAUCCUCUAUGGCACAAAUGACCAAUGAAUCAAGGAUCCUAGAAUGGGCAAUGAGACUUGUACAAAGAAUCAAUGGACACAUGAACAACUAGACAUGAACAAACCAUGAACUAGAAAUGACCAGAUGAAAUGACCAGAUAAAAUCAAUGAAAAAAUGGGAGUUGUGAUGCCAUGAGAAUAGGCUUGAACCAAUGAAAGCAAACAAACCACAAAUGAACAUGUAAAGCCUUACAAUGAACUUUAAUCCAACCAAUGAAACCUCACAUUGGGACAAGAACAAGUGGUCCUUGAAUGUAUCUUGAUCAAACAAUUGGAACAUGCACAAUGGAUGAUAGUGAAUCAGAUGAAAUUAGGGUUUUAGGGAUUGAAUGAUCUGGAUGAUGCUUGCAAUCUAACACCAAUGAAUUAGGGCUCCCCUUAUGCUUCAUGAUGAAGAAAAUCAAGAUGAAAAGUUCACCAAUACAAGCAAAGCCAUCAAAAUGAACCCUAGUUUGGGACUCGGCCUCUCUUCCAUGCUUUGUAUGAUCAAGGCCAUUGAAUCCAUGAUUUUGUGCUUCUCAAUGCAAAUGAAUGUACUAUGAUGUCAUGGAUAUGCAGAUGAAGUCUCAAACCAAAAGUUAGGUAGAAAUGAAAAGGGGAGGGAAAAUUUUGGGAUAUGAUAAUUAUUAGUUUGCCAAGAGAACAAGCUUCACAUGACUUAUCUUCUUUUGUAAGUUUCAAACCUUUCGAUGGAUGACCAUGGGUACUUUCAACUAUUUUACGCAUCAUUUUUUAUCCAGUAUAACCUAAGGGGUCAUGCCAUAAAGUCACAGUUUUGAUAUCUUCUUUUACUACUAAAUUAAAUUCAAUUUCAUGUAUAUAUGUAUAAUGUAAUCCAAAAGAAAAGUUUGGUAGUUUUUCUAAAAUUUUCUUCUUUCCCAAAACAUUAGCAGUAAUAUUAAUAUAUUUUAUAUUACUUUCAGUUGUAGUUUCAAUAUCAUAUCUUUGACGACAUAUAUCAUUAAAACUCAACAAAUUUAUCUUUGAUUUUGGAGAGUAUAAAGCAUUAUUAAUGACAUAUUUAGUCCCAUUUGGUAACAUGGACAUAGCAUUACAUGUUCCUUCAAUCAAAUUUGCAGGACCUUAGAUUGUAUGUAUUACACAUUUAGUAAGAUUUAUUUUAGUAAAAUAUUUCCACUGUCUGGAAUGCAAAUGUCUUUGACAUGUUCCAUGUCUAACAUUCUUAAAAUAGAAAUAAGAUUAAUGAAGAAGUAAAUCAACAUAACAUAUUCAACAUUAUUGUUUCAUGCAAGCAUUGGACAUUACACACCACUGAACAUACAUAUUCUUAAUUAUAUUAUUAAUUUGGCACACAGUGCAAAUAUAAAAUUAGUAGAAGUACACCAUACAUUAUUCAAAUGCGUAUUAUUAAGUAGUUAUUUAAUCCAUAUUCAUUCAGUUGUUCCUUUGAUGAAAUCAACAGCCUCAAAGUAGGUAGUAUCAUUUUCAGAUUCAAUUUCAUUAAAAUUUACUUCCUUUUUCUAUACAGAUGCCUUUGUGAGCUUUUGGAAGGAGAAAACCCUAUGUGAGCUUUUGGAAGGAGAAGAGAGAAUCUUCAUAGCCAAAGCUUCAAGGUUGCUGCAAAUUUGAGGUAAGGGAGGGGAGAACUGUUCAUGAUAUGAGUGUAUUUAGGCAUAAAGGAUAUAUAUUAUUCCUUAUCCUCUUUCCCUUUUCUUUUAAAUUCCUCAAUUGAUGAGUUUAUUGAACCUUGAAAGGGAUUUGUGCAAAACCUCUUUAGGUUGCUGUGACUUGAUGUUAAAUUUGUGAUAUGUUAAUGGUUGUAAGUUGUGUGAAGGACAUGUGUUAAUUCUAAGUUUUGAUGUUCAUGUUGAUAUGCUUUAAGUUGAUGAACAUGUUAAUGGUUUUUGUGAUCAAUCGAUGACAUAAAUGAUUAAUCUGUGUGAAACUGAUAUGCUCAAUGUUGUAUAAAUGAUGUAUGAUAAUUUUCUAUGAUUUUUGGACUUUUCUGGGAUCGAAAUCGGAGCUUCGAAAGUGCUCCAGUGGAAAAACACAGAAAUAUAUGUUAUGCACAGCGGUGAGAGUCCAACCUUUACUGCGUUGGCCAAGCAGGCAAGCGCCACCGAGCUAACGAGCCGACCGUCAUGGACUCAGGGAUAAAGUCCUUGUCCAUGCAUCAACGUGGUGAGAGGUUUGUGAGGGAGAUAUGUGAUGGGCAGGCGUGACAACUGUCAUUCUUGGAGGGCUGACCAUCAUAUCAUGCCCUUGGUUGGCCAAUUUUGGGUCGUUCGGCUUGAUUUUUCGAGUGGAUUCUAUUUUCGAUGUUUAAUAGAUGAAAUUUUGAUGUUGUUGAUGGGUAUCAAUGAGUAUUGUUGAUAAAUUGUAUAAUUUGAUUAUUAUGCCAAAUUAUGAUAAAAGCGUUGAGUUAUGUUGAAAUGUUUGGAUUCAGAGAGGAACCAUUGUCGUGGUCGUGUAUUGGCGAUAUUUAUGACGAGUUUAGGUUUAAAGAGGAACCAAUAACGAAUAUUAGAGUUGGAGCUUUGAGAUGGGUAUUACAUUUUUUUGUUACAUUCAUACAUCAUAUAUAUCGAAGAUAGGUAAAACUUCGACCUAGUGACGAGUCUCGGGUUCAGAGAGGAACCAGUGACGAGUUUAAUGGUUCAGAGAGUAACUAGGUUCAGAGAGGAACUAGUGACAAGUCUAAUGGUUCAGAGAGGAACCAUGUUCAAAGAGGAACCAUUGACAAGUAGAUUAAUUAGUAAUAUACCUCUGACAUCCAAAACAUUGGUACCACAUGCAUCAAAGUAGAUGAGAUGAAUACAUUGCAUACAUGAUUGCAUUUGUGAAUGAUUAUUGUUGUGGAUGAAUUAUAUGAUGGAUUAACUAUGCUAAUUGUACUACCCUUGCUGUUUUAUGCACCGUUAACAUAUGUGAAUGUAUUCUCACCCCUGUUUUUUUUAUCUAUGUUGUUCUUUACGCAUGUGGUGCAUAUACUUAGGUAGAGGAGCCUUGGUUGUUGUUGUGUUUUGGAGAAUGGCGUGAUGGUCUCCUUUGUCAUUUAUCGCUUUUGAAUUUAUUUUAGUUUCUACGUGUUGCUCUGGUAGUGUAACAUUGGGACGGGUUACCUUUUCUGUUUUGUGUUAUGAGAAUUAUUGAACUAUUUCUUUUAUCAUUUGAAAUGAAGUUGAUUUUUUUACGAGACAAUUAAAGUUGAGUUGUUAUUAUUUAUUUCAGUUGCUAUAAUAUGAUAGUUGAGAAAGAUGUUUAUACUGAGAGAAUGUGACACUCUGUUUUUGAGUAAAUUUUCCGCGUGUUUUUAUAAAUCAAGUGUUUGGGGUUUAGGGUGUUACAAUCGUCUCAUUGGCUGAAAAUCUCAUUAGAAAAGGGUAAAUUUUCGCAGUGUGACCAUUGGUUCUUUAACCUAUUCUAACUUAAUAUGUCUUUCACGAGUUUCCUCAAGAAAACGUUAAUACUCUUCGGGGAGAACAAUCUCUUGGUUCAUGUUUUCUCGAAGUACACCAUAAAACUAAAAUUGGAGUGGAGUUGUCGGAGGAUGAUUCCCACAUACGACAUCAAAUGAUUAUGUACUGUCUUUUUUCUUUAAAUGAUGUUUGAUAGUGAUGAAUCUGAUUACAAGUUCUGGAAGCGAUCUUUGAGCUUUGCUCAACAAUGAAGGGUCUUACUUGCAUACACUAUGACACUCAAGCCAGUGACAAUCUUAAAUUGAGGUUUUAGGUUAGAAGAGUGUAUCACUAAUGCUAGUUUGUUAUAUGUCUUUUAAAGUGAAAUUUUAGGAUUUCCAUCUCCUAUAACCUUUUUCCAGAGACAUCUCAAAGAAUAAAUGUUAGUAAAUCAUACGAACAUUACAUCUAAUGAUCCAUAAUUGCUAAACAACCUUGGUUUGAUGCACCUCUAAAGCGGAUGUACUUUCUAAGUUUCAUCUAUAUAAAAAAUUUCAGAUGAUCAGGAUUCUUGUAAUUUGAACAAGAUCAGAAUAAUUGUGUUAAAAUAUGUUAUUUAUUUAUUGCUUCAAAUUUUUAAAAUUAAUCAUAUAUAAAAUAAAUAUACUUUAUAAAAUAAAUUAAUUUGACUUUUUUUAAAAAUAAAUCAUUUUAAAUUAAAUAAAAAAUAAAUAAAUGAGUGUGGAUAAUAUUUAGUUUUACUUUAUUUGUGAAACAAUUUGUAUUUUAUUUAAAUAAACAGUCAUGAUUUAAACUAUCAAUUAUUCAACAACUUUGUUCAAAAGAAAAUUGUUCAACAAUUUAGCCAUUAAUUAUUAAUUGCUUGGUAAUUUAAAAAUUAUAUUGAUAAAUUAGUUAUAAUUUAGAAGCUAAAUUUACUAGUUUUAUUUGAUUUAUUCUAAGUACCAAAGACACUCUCUCUAUAUACCAAAACGUUCCUGGGCAGUAAAGAAAAAAAUUCUAAAUAUUCAUCUCACGAUACAUUCUAUAUGUUUCAAUGGGAACCUCAUUUCUUCUUCAAUCCAACGAUUCAUCUUCCAUCAUCACAAACCCUAACUCUAACCAGAGUACCCGUAGAAAUCGGUUACCGACCGCCGUGAACCCUAGCUCGCGGAAUGAAAGUCGUUCCCGCUCCGGCGGUGAUAGAAACUGCACCGUGAAACACCCUGGAUUGAAUCUUGUAAUGGGUCAGGUGAAGAUUCUCAAGAGAGGAGAGAAGCUGAGUCCUGACAAUGUGAUGAAGAGUGAGGAUGAGGGAUGUUAUGAUUCGAUGUUAGGAUCAACCGAUCGGCUUGGUCCAGAUCCUCAGACGGUGGAGAAGCAGGUUAGGGUUCUUGAUUUGACGGGUGGACUUUAUGCCGGACAGACUUCUGUUUUAUCGCCUCCGCCGAGUUCUGUACCGGUUCCCGGAUUUCUUGGGACGAAAAAAGGCGCCGUCAGUGAUGAUUUGGUGGUUUCUCUGUUUAAGUGAUUCUGUUUUUUUCUUUGGAUUUAUAUGCUUAUGAUGAUGGGCUUUCUCUGCUUUUAUUUAGAAAUGACCAUUGAAUGCAAGUGAACAAAGAAUGUUAUAGAAGAAAGUUGAAGGCAAAAGACUAGAAUCAAGCUUGUUGAUAAGGGGUUUUUAGCUAAGUUUAGUUAGUCCUUUGUAUUGAAAGGUUUUGAAAUUAGAAUGCAUGCCAAAGAGGGUUAUGCUUAGGUUUUAUUUAUAGUUUCAUUAUGGAAAGACAAGUAAAUUCAUUGUGCUGUGAGUGAUAUGAUCACUUAUACUCAUGUAUUUUUUAUAUUUAAUCCAAUAAAACUUGAUACUUUGCUGUUAUGAUAGUAUGUUUUGAAUUGAUGACCAUUGUUAUAUACAUGAUUAUGAGUUGAUUAAUAGAUGUACACUUCUAGGACAUGGAAUAUGAGCUCUCUAUUUUACUAGGUCAUAUUAGUUAUAAGAAUGGAGUUAUG